AGAGUGAGCUUUAAAAAGUCACUUGCCAUGUGAAAAGAAAGCCAGCCACGCCCAGUUGGCCAGCUCCACAUCUCUCUCUCUCUGUCUCUCUCUGUCUCUGUCUCUCUCUCUCUCUCUCUCUCUCUCUCUCUGUUUUCUGGGCAGAUCUUGAGUUAAAUCAAUAAACAUCACUGUUAAAACUAAAUCUGCAUCAACAAAUGGAGCCUCGGUGCUUAUCAGACACUGGAUCCAUAGUCAAGCUCAGCAGCUUUGCCAUUUUGCUUGUCUUUUUGCUUUCAUGCUUCAGUUUUACUUCUACAGGUCAGUGCCCAUGUCUGCUUUUUGGCCCACGGUUCCAAAUUUAGUUUCUUGAAAGUGUUUUUCUUGUUUUCUAUUUCUGGGUUUUAGUUAUUUACCUGUUACUUGUUUUGGUAUUCGAAGAAUUUAACUUUCAAAGAUAUGAUUGGAUGGUAGGUAAUUCCUUUAUGAAAUUUGAGUUUUUUGCGGUUUUUUUAUUCUUCCUAAAUUUGGAGAGGUGAAGCAUGGAGUGAUUGAUAUUUCCUAUUAAAUUCGAUCUCUUCUAGUCCUUUAUUAUUGCUUUCACCGGAGGGAAUGGAAUCUAGCUGAAUUUCAGAUAUUAGCUAGAGAUAAAAGAUUCUAACAAUUAAGCUACAGAAGUUACAGAGUGUACUAAUAUCGACAAGCUGGAAAUUUUUGUUGAUAUGUAGUGAAGCAGCAGUAUAAUUGCCUUGAUAUAUUUUUUUUCGUAAUUCAUAUCAUAGAAAGAAAAUUUAGAAGGACUAAAGUUUUGACAAGUAAAUCGUGUACUUAUAAUAAAUUUUUGAGGAUUGAUGUAUUGAGCUGUGUUUUGCUCGAUGUUUCUGCAGAAGCCUAUGAUGCCCUUGAUCCAACCGGGAAUAUCACAAUUAAAUGGGAUGUCAUUAGUUGGACUCCAGAUGGCUAUGUUGUAAGUAUUAAUGAGCAGAUCAUUCCUUUUAUGUGAUAAUGCUGCCUUUAUUUGAUGCUUUCUAAGCAUGGGCUAUCAUUGGAUUGACUCAGCUUAAAGCUUUAUCUCGGUUAUAUAUAUCAAUUUUAAACUAAAUUUUCGUGUUUUCAAAAGAUGCAAAGUUAAUUUGUUCAUAUUCUCACUGGAUUUUUAAUGUUUUCUUGAAACUCAAUCAAGAAAAGAGGAACCAGGUUUGGAAUUAGAAUUAUAUUCCAUCUGUGUUUUGUUGUUUAUGUCAAUGGUGUAACUAUAUUAGUAGUGCUAGAUAUCGCGGAGAACCUCAUUUAGUACUCCCUGACCUGACUGAUCAUUUCAAUCACCUUGUAGUUCUAUUUCCCGAGAUAUAAUCCUUUAUUUGUGUUUUUCCUUGACUUUCUGAUACAAAUUGUAUUAUUUGAAAUGGCAGGCUGUUGUUACAAUGUUUAACUUCCAGCAGUAUCGACAUAUACAAACACCAGGCUGGACAUUAGGAUGGACAUGGGCAAAAAAGGAAGUAAUUUGGAGCAUGGUGGGAGCACAAACCACCGAGCAAGGGGAUUGUUCAAGAUACAAAGGGAAUGUCCCACAUUGCUGUAAGAAGGAUCCAACAGUUGUGGAUUUGUUGCCAGGAACCCCUUACAACCAGCAGAUUGCAAAUUGCUGCAAAGGGGGAGUAAUGAACUCAUGGAUCCAGGACCCAGCCAAUGCUAUAAGUUCGUUCCAGAUCAGUGUGGGUGCUGCAGGAACAACUAACAAAACUGUCAGACUGCCGAAAAACUUCACCUUGAAAGCACCUGGGCCUGGAUAUUCUUGUGGGAUAGCAAAGAUUGUAAAACCAACCAGAUUUCUAACAGCGGAUAAAAGGAGAUGGACCCAAGCCAUGAGUAAGUACACAAAACUACCCUCUCCCCCUGGUACCACAAAGAAGAAUAGAGAAGAAAAGAGCUUUGACUGAGUUAAUUGCUAAGGCAUUUACAGUAACCCAGAGUUACUAUAGUGUUACUCUGGACUGAGAACAUAAGCCAUCGGUUUAUGACAUAGAUGUGGUCAAGGAUGGAACUACACUAUGGCUAGAUUGGGCUCUAGCCUAGUGCAAAGUUUGGGAAAAAAGAAAUUUAAUACUAAUUUUUAGGCACUACACCUCGUUUUACAAAAAUUAGCCCAAUCCAUCUAAGCAAAAAUUAGCAUGUCCUAUCCAAACAGAUCUCCAGUUAGCUUCAAGUUUUCUCCUAUGAGAAAAUAAAUGGAAUUUUAUUUAGAUCCUUAUCCAUAUAAGAAAUAAUAGCCCACCCCUAUAAAAAUUUAUGGUUCCGUCCUUGGAUGCGGUAUCUGUUAACAUAUCAAUAGGAAUAGUUUCAGCUUAGGAUUAAAAAAUUGUGUAGUUUCAAGCUGCUCUUCAAAUGUUCCAAGUGAAAGAUGCAAUUGGAACGAUAAAUACAGUCUUAUACUUUAAAAUAUGGGAAAAGAAAAUUUCAUGCUUUAUUUAACUUUGACAUCCUCUUCUGGCAGUGACCUGGAACGUUACUUGCACAUACUCGCAAUUCCUGGCUCAAAAGACACCCACUUGUUGUGUUUCUCUCUCCUCCUUCUAUAAUGAGACCAUAGUAAGCUGCCCCACUUGUGCCUGUGGCUGCCAGAACAACGCUACAGACCCUGGGAGCUGUGUAGAGUAAGUGUUCUAAUUCAUAUAUUUGUUGCAUUUCUCAAUCUUCUUUUUCAGAGGCAGAGUUUGCAGUGAUACUAAAUCAUAAAUAUUUUCUCUUUUGCUGAUACUGCUUUGCAGGCCGAACAAUCCAUAUUUAGCUUCAGCUGUAUCAGGUCCUGGAAAAUCUACUAAUGCUCCUCUGGUCCAGUGUACUAGCCAUAUGUGUCCAGUCCGAGUCCAUUGGCAUGUGAAGAUCAAUUACAAGGAGUACUGGAGAGUGAAAGUCACAAUUACAAAUUUCAAUUACAGAAUGAACUACACGCUGUGGAAUCUUGUUGUGCAACAUCCCAACUUUGAUAAUUUGACCAAGAUUUUCAGCUUCAAUUACAAAUCCCUAACUCCUUAUGCUGGCUUAAGUAAGUUUUUUGUUGCCCUUCAUCAAUUUGUGUGAAGUAGAUUUUUAAUAAUUUUCAAAUCAAUAUAUUAUCAAUGCAGUUCUUUGGGCUUUCAUUGACAUAAAGUUUGGCAAUACAAAUUUUGGUUGUGCAGAUGACACUGCCAUGUUGUGGGGAGUAAAGUUUUAUAACGAUUUGCUCACACAAGCUGGCCCUCUUGGAAAUGUGCAGUCAGAGCUCCUAUUUCGAAAGGAUGCAUCAACUUUCACUUUUGAAAAGGGAUGGGCUUUUCCUCGAAGGAUUUAUUUUAAUGGUGACAAUUGUGUCAUGCCACCUCCAGAUGCCUAUCCAUGGUUGCCAAAUUCCAGUCCCAAACAAGUCAUUUCCAUACUUCAUCCCGCCAUCACCAUCUUCGUAUCUCUGCUAUUCUUAUUGGCUUAUGCAUAGUGAUUGUGCCUGGGCCAGACAACAAUAGCUAUCUGUUUUUUCAUUACAUUGUAGAAUUUUCGAUCAAGUUCAAGUUGCACUAAAGCAUAUUGAAAUCCAGUUGAUGGGGUCAAAUGUGUUACUGCUGUGACUUCUAGCUAUACAAGUGGUUCAGGUGCGCUACGGCUUGACUGUCACGACAAAAUUCUGUUUCAAUAUCUGUUACACGUAUUAACACUUUAUUCUUUUACUGUUGUUUUUGUUUAAAUUUAGCCGUUGUACGAUUAUUUAGAAUGAUCCAGUGAAUAUGUUCUUAGCAUUAUAUGAUAUUUCAGAAGAAAUCAAAGUUGAUGUAUGAUUUUUGUUCAAAGAGUUGUAUAACAGUGUUUAUAUUAUUUUCGAUUUCCUGUUGAGUUCACAAUACACAUCCUGUCACAUACUGCAGAAAGAAAACAAUAUUAAACAAUUUUCAUAAGUGAAAUUGCAAGAGAAAACAUUUAGUAAAGGAGCAAAGCAAUUUCGUUUGCUAUUGUGCACCAUGAACUGAGCUAAAAAAUCGUGGGACAUUAUAGCAAGGAUUUCAGAUACAGUUUCCAAAGCUCACUAUCUAUACUGAAUUAUCACACACAGGACCACAUCUGUUACUCCAACGUUUCAAAAUUAUCAGGAAAGUGAAAAACAUAUAGAAAACAAUAUCAGAAGUACAGAAGCUGCCAUUUUGAAGAUUGAAAUAGAAUUUACAUGGGCAGAGUUUGGUAGUGCUGGGUAUGCAUCAGGUGGGGGCAGCAUACAUUCAUCACCGUUGAAAUAAACUCUUCGAGGAAAGGCCCAUCCUUGCUUGAAUGUAAAGGUGUUCUGGUCCUUCUGCAGAAGCACCUCAGACUGAACAUUUCCUGAUGGCCCAGCUUCCAUUAAUAAGUCAUUGUAAAACUUCAUGCCAUAGAACAUGCCAGUGUCAUCUGCAUAUAUGGUCAAUCAAGCUCAUCUGUUAGUAGGAAACUCAAAAUUCCAAAAGAAAUGUAUUAAAAAAAAAAAAAAAAAGAACAAGAGAAGCUUGAGAAGCAAAAGACUUACUAAUGGACUCAUAGGGGAGAAGGGGUUUGUAACCAAAGCUAAAGACUUGAGUGACAUUGUUGAGAUUAGGAUGCUGCGCAACGAGUGUCCACUCCGUGUAGUUCAUCCGAUAAUUGAAAUUUGUGAUGGAAAUCUUGACGCGCCAAUAUGCCUUAUAGUUAAGCUUCACAUGCCAGUGAACUCGGAUAGGGCACAUAUGAUGUGUGCACUGAAGCAACGGUGUAUUGUCCUUUUUUGGUGUGUUUAUUCCUGUCUUGUGUGCUAACUUUGAAUCACUCCUGUUUGCAUUGCAAAACAAUUGCAUCCAGUAAGUCAAGUGUGUACGGAUAUGCAUAUGCUUAUAUGUGGAUAGGUUAUGGAGGCUUACUUGAUACAGUUUUUCUUAUUGUGACAACCACAAGCACAAGAUGGGCAAGGAACGAUGGUUUCAUUGUAGAAAGAUGAAAACGAAACACAACAGCUUGGAUUCUUGGAGGCAAGGAACUGUGAAUAGGUGCAUGUCACAUUCCAUGUCACUGCAUCAGAAGGAACAUGCCAUGCGACUCAGUUUCAAGAGUUUUCUUUAACAUCAGAUUUCAACCAUCUAAAAAUUUAAAAGAAUAAAAAAGAUAGAAGAAGAGUAGGAAGAUCUUGGAAAAGCGAGAAUCAAAAUAUCUUACUAAGGGCUUGAGUCUUUCGCCUGCGAUCAGCCGUGAGGAAGACUGUGGAUGGCACGACCUUUGCAGGGCCACAAGUGUACCCUGGUCCUGGACCAAACAAGGUGAAAUUUUUGGGGAGUUUCACUGUUUUAUUUGAGGUACCAGCUUGCCCGACACUCACCUGGAAGGCAGAGACUGAAGCUGUAGGAUCCUGUCCCCAAGAUGCCAGGACACCGCCCUUGCAGCAAUUGGUAAACUGUUGGUUGUAAGGAACUCCAGGAAGCAAGUCAACAACUGUUGGAGUUUUCUUACAACAAUGUGGGAUGGCUGCUUUGAAUUUGGAACAGUCUCCUUGCUCUGUGGUUUGAGCUCCCACCAUGGUCCAGAUUACUUCCUUUUUUUGCCAUGACCACCCUAGAGUCCAGCCGGGGCUAAUGAUUUGCCGGUACAUUUGAAAGUUGUUCAUAGUCACUGCAGCCUAGCAUAAUUCAAUAAAGGGAUUGCCUAUUAUGAUUUUUUUUUUUUUUUUUUUGAAUUUAAAAAAUUUGAUUUGUAAGUAAAUCAACAUAUACAAAAAGUCAUUCAAAUGAUAUCUUACAACAUAGCCAUCUGGUGUCCAGGACAUAACAUCCCAUUUGAUCGUUAUGUUUCCAGUUGGAUCCAAUGGAUCAUAUGCAGCUAAAAGUCAUAAACCAUGAAGCUAUUGUUAGCGGACAAGCAAAUGUAACCAGAAAAAGAUCAAAGACAAUGUAUUUUCAAGCUGGAUUUGUUGUCAGAAAUUUACCUGCAGGAGAUAAUACCAUGCAACAUAGCACAGCCAAGAAUGUGAACUUGAGCCAAGACCAAGAGCAACAUGUUUCCACCUCAAGGUGGACUUUGUGAGUUGGGUUGGCCUGGUUUUUGAAUUCCAUGACCUCAGCUCUCCGGCGGUGGCGAGGACUUAAGAGGAGACAAGAUGUACUCUGGCAAACCAGGGUGUUAAAAAGGAAAAGAUAGAAGACACCAGAUUGAAAGUGAAAGCCUCACCUACUGGUUGUUAGGCACUUCCAUGUCCAUGUGAUAUUUCAUCUUAUUUGAUAGUUUCACACAUAUAUCUUAUUUAAAUUCAUUUAUUUAAAGAUAUAUGGCUGUUUGUUUGCUGUGUUUCUGCAUCUUGAAGCAAGUUUUGGUGAUGAAUGAUGUAAAAGCUGGCGGAAGAAUUUUGAGAGGCUCUGAAGACUGAGACAACAACAGCCCAACGCUCAGUCCCUUCACACACUGUUCCUUUUUUGGGCAUACCUUAUGUCAUGCUAUAUAUUGCUUCCCAAGAAACAUGUUAUAAUUGGUUUGCUUCAAUUUCAAGUUUUCCGGUUUCUUUUUGGUCCCUCAUUCAAUUCAAUCAUUACCAAAGUUAUUGCUCAACUCUCAAAAUUAAUUUAUGCAAAAGGGCCAAUUCUCAAUUUGCCAAUAAUUCCGAAUAAGACCUUAAACCUUGGGGUUUCCUUAAGAAAGAAAAAAACUUUACACGUGUGUGAAAACUGACAGCACAAAGCGCGCCUUUCUUCUUCUUCUUCUUCUCUCACGAUUGUCAUGAACUCUCCACCAGCAAAGCGACUUGACUCUGUUUCUGUUUCUGCACGAAGAAGGAAAACAUGAAAAUCAAAAGCGCCCAACGCAUUUGUACAUACCACCCACCAAAGGUAUUGAAAUCUGGCGUCCUUUUUUAUGUUUGAUCGAAUUAGUUCGUCUUUAUUAUGUAGCAAAGCCUUUGUCUUUUUUAUUUUUAUAAUACAGAAUUCAAGAAGUUGUAGAAUUUAAAAUGUUCGAAAUAUGAUCAGAUUCUGUGUUGGUUUUUUAUCAGAAUGCCUUGUGGGUGUGUCUUAGAUUAGUUUUAGCUCGAAAACUAAUGGAACCCAUGAAAAGCUUACUGUCUUUUUUUCUGCCUUUAAUUUCUUUUGAGCUGUUGCGCUUCACCAGUAGAGUUAGAAGAGUAGCAAUACCAGGGAAUGAUUAGAAAUAUGUGAAGAAGAAAGGCAUAUAGUUUGGUUUUGUUUUUGGGCCUUCUCUACCUUAUCAGGCAAGGAAUUGGUUUCUUUUAUACACAGGUUCAAGCAAUUUAUAUAUAACACUUGCAUACUCACAUCAACUUCAUUAACCCACCACAAGAACCUUAUAAUAAGUGUUUUGAUGUUCAUAUGGCAUCGCUCCUGUUCCAAUCUUCUGUUAAAUGAUCAGUGAAGAGCCAGAAACAUCAGAAGCCAAGAGAGAGCCAAUUUUGGUACUGUAAUUAGAUUUGUAUGGGCAGCAUUUGGUAGACCUGGGAAUUCAUCAGGUUGGGGCAUCAUGCAUUCAUCCCCAUUGAAAUAGACCUUACGAGGGAAACCCCAACCCUCCUUGAAUGUGAAUGUGUUUGCAUUCUUCUCAAGAAUCAACUCUGAUUGUACAUUUCCCUCUGGCCCAGCUUCUUUUAGGAGGUCGUUGUAGAAUUUUAUGCCGUAAAACAAACCAGUGUCAUCUGCACAACCAAAUGGUACAAGUCUUAGCUCCAAAAGUGCAUGCUUUUCUUUUGAAAUAUAUUUAGUUGUUACUUGCAAGACUCCCUAAGUCCUGUAUGGAAAAGUCUGGACUUACUCUUGGAUUGAUAUGGGGUCAGGGGCUUGUAGACAAAGCUAAAAACUUCCGUAAUAUGGUUGAGAUUUGGAUGUUCAACCACAAGCGUCCACUGCGUGUAAUUCAACCGAUGGUUGAAAUUAGUUAUGGUAAUCUUCACACGCCAAUACUGCUUGUAGUUUGUUUUCACAUGCCAAUGUACCCGAAUUGGGCACAUAUGUUGUGUGCACUGAAGCAGCGGGGUGUUAUCCUUUGUUGGUGUGUGUAUUCCCACAACACUCGACAACUUUGAAUCACUCCUGCAUUAUUAUGUUUCGGUCUGAAUGUCAGUUACUGAGAUGCAUGCCUCAAUCUAGAUUCUAGAAUUUAUAUGACUGCUGGUACCGUAGUGUUUAUGACAUCUAGUUGAGUUAGAAAGCAGAACUGAUGAGUGAUAAAUGCUUACACAAUGCAUUUCUUUUUGUCUCGGCAACCACAGGCACAAGUUGGACAAGGAGUGAUUGUAGAGUUGUAAAAUGAUGACAUAGAGACACAACAGGUUGGGUAGCGAGACGCCAGCAACUGUGAGUAAGUACAUAUCACAUUCCAAGUCACUGCAAACAAGAAUAUACAGUUAGAAUUGUAGCAGAAUGAGUCUUAUUCAAUAUUUCUUCUUUAGUUAAAGAUACUUACUCAGCGCUUGAGUUUUUCGACGACCAUCAGGUGAGUUGAAAACUGUAGAUCGCACAAUCUUUGCUUGGCUGCAAGUGUAGCCUGGUCCUGGACCAAGCAAAGUGAAAUUCUUUGGUAGUCUGACGGUUUUGUUGGAAGUUCCAGAGCGCCCAACACUCAGCUGGAAGGAAGACACAGCAGCUGAAGGGUCUUGACCCCAUGAUGCCACAACACCAGCUUUGCAGCAAUUGGCAAUCUGUUGGUUGUAGGGGACACCAGGGAGCAAGUCAACAACUGUAGGAUUUUUCUUACAACAAUGUGGUAUGUUUCCUUUAAACUUGGUACAGUCUCCUUGGUCAACGGCUUGUGCUCCAACCAUGGACCAGAUCACCUCUUUCUUUGCCCAUACCCAUCCUAAGGUCCAGCCAGGGCUCAUGAUGUGCCGGUACAUUUGAAAGUUGUUCAUCGUCACAACUGCCUGAAAUUUUGUAAUUGUACAGCAUAAAUCUUUAAAGAACAUUUGUUGACAAUCAACAUUAAUCAAUCUUUAAAUCUUUCCUUGAAGUCAGUAAGCAUGAAUUCAAAUUUCUCUGCUAGAGGCACUCAUAUUAUUAUUAAAUGCAUGUCACAUGAAUUAUCAAGCUGAUGUGAGAUUAUUGCAAAAGUUAUUGCUCCAUCAAAUAUUCAGAUGGUCAUUAUCUGAUAAAGUAGGAAAACCUAGGUGUUUGCUUCUUCCAAUAUAGCAAAUGUUAUGAACCAAACUACUUACCACAUAACCAUCGGAAGUCCAGGAUUUGACAUCCCAUUUCAAUGUAAUGUUCCCAUUCGGAUCCAAUGGGUCAUAAGCAGCUAAAAUUAUGAUACAAUGAAACUUAUAAGUGACAUGGUAUAAUAGAAUCAAAAUUCAGCACAGAGCUUUCAUUACUAGAAGGAAGCUGACCUGCAUGAGGAAUUUUAAGUAUAAACGAAACAGCCGAGAGAACGAGGCACAUAUACUUGUUGAAAAUCAUGUUUCUUCCGGCAGAAGACAGUUGGAUGCAGAGCUCCAAUAUGAAGACACAGAAAUUGUACAAAAUAUGAGUUGUGAAGAGGCUUAAAACAAGUUCAUCUACUGGUUUUGUUAGGAAUUUUAUAUAUGAUACACAUCUUGAUGUCAAUUUCUUGACACAGUUAUAUUCAGUUAAUUAGAACAAGCUGCGAGCUUGAGAAUUCUUGAAGACAACAGCCUAACUGUCCGGAGCCUAAGAUGAUGUUGGUUCCUAUGGACAUUGGUUUUUCAGUUGACCCACAAACCAAGUCCUCUAAUUAAACAAAUGAUCAAACCAAACAAGUUAGUGAUUCUCAGACUAAAAUGAAUCCGGUCAACUCCCUUGUGAAAAUGACCCAUUGUUUUUUUUUUUUUUCCAACUCGGACAGAGAUUUUCCAACUUCUACAGCUUGUUUGUAUUCAAUACGCAAUUUAAUUUAACCUGUAAUACAAUAUGAUUAUGGUAGCUUGUCCAAGUUUGUAGGUAAAACUAAUCUUUCUCCAGUGGUUGAAACUUUCAAAAGCAAAUUGUCAUCUUUAUUGUGUUUUCUGAUAAAUCCCUAAUAUGUUAGAAUGAAAUUUUUCUUCAUAUUUAUUUAUUUAAAUUGUCGCUAUUUCUGUGUCAUGAUAUCAAAUUGAAGUGGUAAACACAUAGAAUUAGAAGACUCACUUACCAAAGAAAAAGGAUAAUAAGAUGGUGGGGUUGUGGUACAAUGGAAUACUAGUUGAAGAAAAUGAGUGAGCUCCGAUCAAUCUCAUUGCUUCUGAAUUAUUGAAGUGCCAUCUAGUUUAUUUCAGCUUCUAUGUGUUUUAAUAAAUUGCCGGUGGUAUUUUGGGGAAGCAAACCAAACGUCUACAUGAAAACACAGAGAAAAAAAAAACACGAGAGAGUCUUUUCAGCCAAUAUACGACAGUUGGGCUCUUUAGUGACGGUUUAUGUCCUUUUGCUCCGGUAUUUGCACUUUUCUUGACGAUUUAAAUGCUCCGUUCGUCUUGAAAGUCUUUAGCAACGUUAAAAAUUGUCGCUAGACGCAGCUAAAAAAUCCUAUUUCGACGAAUAUAAAAACCGCCGGUAAAAGUCGGAAGAUAAUUUAAAUCAUCUCCCACAAGCAAAAUUGGUGAUUUUGAGAGGCACAAAAGAAAUAAAACCUCGUUUUCCAUAUCUUUAAAUGUAAAUAAACAUAUUACUAGAAAACAUUACGAAAGUCUCAUUCAAAUUAUUUCUUGGAUACAUGAAAAUGCCUAAAUCUAUUCAACAACUAGCUGCCUAGAUGGGAUUGGGAAGAAGUGUAGUGCAAGUUUCUGACGCCACCCCUGUAAAGAUCUCUUUUUACUCUACUGACAUGCUAGCAACUUUGUGCGUGUCAUCAUUGCUCAAUCCUUCUUUGAGAUGGUCUCCAAGAGCUGAAGCUAAAUCAGACCUGCAUAUGGACUUUUACUUCCCAUAAUCUGUCACAUUGUCAAGCCUUCAUAAUAACCUGCAUGGUUCAAAACACAUCAUAAUUAUGAAUUAAAAUUACUAGAAAUAAGAACCCGAGAUUAUUAAGUUAAGAGAAACUGAAUGAUGACAACUAAAUCCUUUAGAGGCCAAAAGCCUAGCCGCCUAUCAUUCACCAAUGAUCAAAAGACGGCAUGUCUGAAUUUUCCUUUCUGGGACAAAAUUAAACAUUAACUAGUGUGGGGGAUGCAUCUUAAGAAGUUGCAAGCCCAUUUGAAUGGCUAUUAUGAGUUGCAAUCCUACUUUACCAGUGUUACAAGGCAAAUGAUGUAAAGGACUAAAGAAAAGGAUGAGACAUACAAACUAUCACUAUUCAGCAUACCAUUAGACCAGCAAAUCGUAAAUCCCUUGCAAGUGUGGACCAGUAUCUGCCAAAUGAAAGAAAAAUUGGAGCAUGAUGGUCAUAUUUCAAAUGUGUGUGUGCAUAUGCAUGCAUGGAUGUGGGUGUGCAGGCAAUAGCCUCCUGUAUUUUACAGAGAACUAUUGGACUCAUGGUGAAAAUGGAUUGCCCAUAAUACAACCUCAAACUAAGUCAGUUUUUCUUUUCUUACACAAAACAGAGAUUUGAUUAAUGAAAAAGUGUUAGAAGGAGGAUGAACGAGAUGUUCAUCUAAAUCCUUUUAGCAUCCUCAAUCACAAACGCAAAUUACAAUCAACCCAAACUAACUAUUUGGAUGAAAUACACCAGUCUACCUAAAGAGGCCAACUGUAUCCAAGACUCUUAAUUGCCUAAUCUCCAUCAUAAUGAAAAAUGGGGAGAAGAGGGAAGAAGGAGGAGGGAACACCAUAUAUUUGGAUACCAUGCUUCAUAGGUAAGCCAUGGAAGCACUUCUAAAAUGCCAUUGUAGAAUUUCUAUGAAGUUAAAUGCCAUCCAUAUGAUUGCAUACCACAGAAUUGAGCAUUACCAAUGAGUCAUGAUUGCUAUAUCUACAAUAUAUUUACUCAACCUGACUUGAACAGGGAAUAAAUUCGCUCCGAAUGUGUUACAAAAUUUUUAUACACAUUGGCAUAUACAAUUAUACAUUCACCAAAUAUAAAAAACCCUGAUUUACACUAUUCUUUCCCAACAAUAUAUUUUCAUAAACAACCAGAAUAUUUUCCUUUGAUUUCUAAUCCUGGGUGAAUUAGUUUCUUUAUAACUGAAAAAUUAAAAACAUAAAAAUUGGGUUUUCAGCUGCUUCAAAUUCCAAUCAUGUAUAGUUAAACCUACCUUUCAAAGCUAGAAUAUUAAAGUUUUAUUCUUUCAUUUUAAGUUUAACUCUUUGAUUCUUUCUUUUUCUUUUUUACAUUGUUAAAUUUUCGCUAUUCAUAGGUCAUGGAUUAGAUCCCUAUAAUUGAAGUGGGAAAGUAGAGAAUUGGAAGGCUUACCAAAGAAAGAUGACAAAUGCUUUGAUUUUUGAUAAAAUCGGAAAACACAACUGAGAAAGCCAAGCCCUUUUCCCCCAAGUUCGCCGUCGAUGACAACCCCGAUCGAACGAAGAGCUGAAAUGAAAUUUGAAAAGUCAAUAGUACCCUAAACCAAAAUUAAGCUAUGUUAGUGGGCUGGGCUGGGUCGGGAUAAGAGGCUCAUGACUAAUAUGGGCCUUCAUGGUUGGGUAUAUUUUAUCUUCCCAAAGGGUCCAACGCAUGUUGGUUCACAUGGACAUCGAUUUUUCAAUUAAAGCGUACAGCCGUGCGGCUAUACUCUGCAGAUAUAUUUUUUAUUUAAAUAGUACGCCUUGGAUAUAUUUUUAAUUUAAAUAGUACAGCCGCACGGCUAUACUUUUUAAAUAUAUUCUUUUAUUUAAAUAGUAUAGCCGCGCGGCUAUACUAUAUAUAUUUUUUAAUGCUAUAGCCAGCCGAACGGCUAUACUCUUUAAAACCCAUCCCUUGCACCAUUGUUGGAGAAGAAGAUGGAAUGAUCAGAAUGGCAUUUUUCGUACUCGUCCUUGGUCUCCGCCAUCACCGAGUCUUUGGUAUAGUUGAAAUCUAAGUCCGUGUAAAACAAAGCAAAAUAACAUUACCCAAGUUAGAGUGGCAAGCUUAAUUAGAAAAAAAAGCUCUUUUGAUACAAAGGAUAUUGCAGGAGGUUUUUGUGUGUGAGAGAGAGAGAGAGAGAGAGAGAGAGAGAGAGAGAGAGAGAGAGAAGGAGACGACAGUAGGUUUUCUUUAAAGUCAGGAAAAGAAAAUCUAUAUAUAAAAAAUAGGGCUCGCCUAGGCGGCCGCCUAGGCCGAUUUUUCGAAAAAGACUAUCUAUUAGGUCAGGGCAAGGCAUAGAAGUGUUGAAGAAUGAGUUUCUGUUGAUCUCCAAAGUCCAACACAACAAUCUUGUAAAGCUCAUGGGUUGCUGCAUUAAAGAUGAUGAGAAGUUGAUGAGAAACAAAAGCUUGGAUAUGAUAUUAUUGGGUUAGUUUCACUGGCCCUUUAUGUUUGGCUGCAAUUUCUCAUUGUUACCUAUCUUUCUCCAAUAUCCUUGAUAAUGUCUGAGCUCUUCCCAUCCUAGUAUGCCCAACUCUAGGGAACUAUUGAUUUCAUUUCUAAUGGCAAUGAGAAGAGCAGUGCUUGACUGGGCUAAACGGUUCAAUAUUAUUCAAGGUGUUGCUAGAGGACUUGUUUAUCUCCACCAUGAUUCCUGUUUGAAGGUGUUGGAUGAGAAGAUGAGCCCAAAAAUUUCAAAUUUUGGUUGGCACGUAUCUUUCAAGGAACACAGAAUCUAGCAAACACUCAGAGUCAGAAGGUUGUGGGAACUCUGUAAGAAUCAUUUCUUUCCUACUACCAGAAUUGUUAUUAUUUCCCAACUAAACUUGUGUAAUAUGCUUUUUAGCAUGUUAUAUCAGGAAUAAUAACGAGUUGGUGGAUAAAGAAUUUCAUGUGCAGUGUGCGGCUAUAUGUCUCUGGAGUAUGCCUGCUAUGGGCGGGAUAUUUUCUGAAAAAUCUCAUGUAUAUAGCUUUGGGGUCUUGCUAUUGAAGAUUAUUGGUGGCAGGAAAAAUACCAGCUUCUAUUACCAUGACCAACAGCUCCUAUAUUUACUUUCCAAAACUGUCUUUGAUCCUCUACCACAGUAUGACAAUAUUUGCUCCGCAAACGAAGCUACCAUAACACUGCUUAAAGGACGAUAAGCGAUACACCGGUCUGCAAGUAAAAACCAUUUUUCAUUGAACCCGUUGACAUAUAAGUUUUCCCUUUGGUAUAGAAAUCAACCCUUAUUUAUUUAUUUAUUGGGAUAGUGAAUGAAGGUUUUCUCUUCAUGGGAAACUUUGUUAAAAUGCACUAAAAACAAAAACACAUUAUAAGACUGGAGUUAGUAUAACAUCCCGUUAAUGUCCUGAUCCCGUUAAAGGAAAAAAGUUUUGGGUUCAACUGCACUUGCCUUGUUAUUUUUCGACAAAUUGUGAACAUAAACCCAAAAACAUAAUGUGUUGGGUAUAAAUAGGUCCAAUAUGUUGGUUCACAUGGACAUUGAUUUUUCAAUGGACCCACAAACCCAAGUCCACUAAUUAAACAAAUGAAAUUACCAAACCAAACAAGCCAGUGAUUCUCAGACUAGAAUGAACCUGGUCAACUCGCUUAUGAAAAUGACCCAUUGGUUUUUUUUCCCCCUCACUCAGACAGGGAUUUUUCAACUUCUACAGCUUGUUUGUAUUAGGUACCAGGAUGCAAUUUAAUUUAACCUGUAAUACAAUACGAUUAAGGUUGCUUGUCCAAAUUUGUUGAGAAAACAAAUAUUUCUUCAGUGGUUGAAACUUUCAAAAAAAAAUUGUCAUCUUUGUUGUGUUUUCUAAUGACUUUGUAUCCCCUGUACUACCUUUCUCAUUUAUGUGAUCUUGUUUGGAUCUCCAUCUUCCUCUGCUACUAAUGGCAGUUGUGUCUCCUUAUAGAUAUGUUCAAAUAUAAUUUUUACACAUUACCCUAUGUUAACAAAGUUCAGCUCAUUCUUUGUUCCCAAAGAAAAAAAAUAUACACAAGUACUUGAACUCAUUCUGAGUCCUAGCUAACAAUUUUGCAAUUUCCAUGAAAUUUUGGAAUAGGAGGUUUAGAUUGUAAACAUGGGAGAGGGAACUGAAGUUCAAGUUUUCUGAACUUGAUCACAAAAUAACUAUACAGACAUGUUCGCACAUUCCCAUUCUUUUUAAUCUUUGAUCCUUGCAUACGUUGUAUUGAUGAUGUCUUUGUAUUGGUGAAGAUGGAACAGCUUCAGAACCAUUGGUAAGAACCUCUUUCGGAUAUCUGAGUUAUAGAUCAUUAGUGGCACGAGCACAAAAAGACUAGUAGCGCCGAAAGCAAAAGGGUUGUAGCCAGUGUAGAUGAGGAAAUAGAAUUUGCAUAAGCAGAGUUGGGCAGGGUUGGAUAUAUAUCAGGAAGGGGCAUCUUGCACUCAUCGCCAUUAAAGUAAAGUUUGAAAGGAAAUGCCCAACCUUGGUCUAAUGCGAAUGCUUUCAUGUCCUUUCCAAGAAGCAACUCUGUCUGGACAUAUCCCUCAGGCCCAACUUCCAUUAGUAGGUCACUAUGAUUUUGUAUGCCGUAAAACAUGCCGGUGUCGUCUGCAUAUUCACACAGAUCCACACAGUAUGUUAGAUCUUGACAUGUACAUCACAUAUUUAUAUUGUGUGAUAUGAAUGAAGCAUCUUUCUUUAUGGUUCCAUUGUAGACUGAGACUUACUUAUUGAGCCGUAGUGAAUGAGUGGCUUGUAGACAAAGCUAGAGACAUUAGCUAAUUUAUUGAAGUUCGGAUGCUGAGCAACAAGAGUCCAUUGUGUAUAAUUCAUCAGGUAGUUGAAGUUGGUGAUGGUAAUCUUCACACGCCAAUACUCCCGAUAGUUAGCCUUCACAUGCCAAUGCACUCGGAUCGGGCACCUGUGAUCUGUGCAUUGUAACAUUGAUGCAUCUUCCUUAGCUAAGGCUUUUUUAUUCAGCACCCUUGAGUCCUUGGGGUCAUUUCUGCAUUAUGUUCCAGUGUUAGGGAGAGAAGACAUUAACAUGGAAAAGUUCAAUUAUUGGAUGGGAAAGGCUCAUUGCAUGACCUUUCGCUUCAGUCGAACUGAAAAAAUGGUAAGUUUUGUGUACGGGCUACUUACAUGCAAUUAUUGUUCACAUCCUUACAACCACAAGCACAAGAUGGACAAGGAGUAAUCAUGGGGUUGUAGAAAGAUGACAGAGAGACACAACAUGUUGGAUUUUCAGAGACGAGCAAUUGCGAGUAAGUGCAAUCCAAAGUCCAUGUCACUGCCAAAAAAGAAAGCACAAAAAUUAUACAAGACAACUAGAUGGAAGAACUUCAAAGCUAAUUGUAGAAACUGUAAGAAAACACAGCAUGCCUACUAGAUUGCUAGCUAUUAGCAAACUUUAGUGCUUGUAAAAACUGUAAUUAAGAAACAGAAUGUGACACCAGGCAUAUUUUGUUGAAACACGGAAGAAGUAAACUUACUCAUUGCUUGAGUCGUACGGCGGCCAUCAGGCGAGAAGGAAACUGAGGGUGGUACAAUGGUUGCAGCACUGCAAGUGUAGCCUGGUCCAGGACCAAGCAAAUAAAAAUUCUUUGGUGGUGUUACUGUUUUAUUUGAAGUACCUGAAUGGCCAACACUCAGCUGAAAUGCUGAGACUGCAGCUGAGGGGUCCUGUCCCCAUGAUGCCAUAACACCACUUUUGCAGCAAUCUGAAAAUCUUUGGUUCAUCGGAACCCCAGGAAGCAAGUCAACAACUGUGGGAGUUUUCUUGCAGCUGUGUGGAAUAUUUGCUUUGAACUUGGAGCAGUCUCCUUGAGCAGUGGCUUGAGCUCCCACCAUUGACCAUAUCACUUCCUUCUUAGCCCAUGUCCAGCCUAAGGUCCAUCCGGGGCUCUUGAUGUGCCGGUACAUUUGGUUGUUGAUUAUUGUUACUGCUGCCUGGAUCAUAUAUAUUAUCAUGGUAAGUAAGUAUGUAUUUGAACUGAGCUUUUAGUUGUUGAACUUAUUAUUAGAAUUGAUUAUCAAUGAAAAUGAAAACAAAGUGAUACAAGUUGUGGUGGCACUCACCACAUAGCCAUCAGGAGUCCAAGACAGAACAUCCCAUUUGAUAUUUAUCCUCCCAUUUGGAUCAAACGAAUCAUAAGCCACUAAAAACCAUGAGGGAAGGAGGAAUUGGCAAAGUUAGAAUAAGCAGCAAUGAGGUUUAAUUAAGGAACCAAACCAUACUCCUAAUCCUAAACAUAGUUCUAAUUAUUAAUUAGAAGCUCACCUGCAUGAGAAACUAUUGUCAAGAACAUGACAGAUACCAAAAAUGCGCUACUUAUACAUUUGCUAAUAAUCUCCAUUGUUCAAGUUUCAGUAAGCAGCUGGGGAUUCUUGAGAACUUAUGCAGUUCAAUUGUCCAAAGGGCCAGUAUUUAUAAGCAACUAGGCUCCCAAACCAAAAAGUAUUAUCUACCCUCAUGCUAAGCUACUUGUUCGACUAUGGUUUUCCAGAUGUCAUGUUCUCAGCUACUUGACUAGGACAAAAGUAUUGAUCACAAUUUCAUAUAUGUGUAAUGUUGCGUAUGCAGCAUGUCACAGAUGAACCAAACCAGUUUCCAUGUUCAAGCGAAAUUGGAUAGCUAUUUAAAAAUUGUUAAAAGGGCAUGAAUGAACAAUUUGCAGCAAUCUUGAUCAUGCCGGCGGGAUGGACACAGAAUGAUGAGGUGAUCUCCCAAUUUCUGCAGUGACUCUAACCAAUAAACUUGAGGCUGACUAUAUAUUCAGAUAAUAAAUAAGUGAUAAAUGGAUAUAAGUAUAGGAAAUAUAACCGAGUCAACUAAUUUCCUAUAUGUGUUUCAAGAAUGAAAAGUCAAGUUCAUGGCUUACAUCACAAAAAUUCACUGUUGGUUUGGCAUCUUGCCCUUGUCAUUUGUUCUCUCUUGACAUGGUAGGAUCUACAGAAUGACUGGCAGCAGGAAUUCAUUAAGCCUGGAGUUGAGAUUCUUAGGACCCCAAGACUUUCACUUGUGGGAUAUAAAAAAUGACCAUAUUUGAGAAACACCACCAUAGCUGCCAAUGCACCAUUUGGAAAAUCACUUAUCAAUGCCAAAGCAUUAGAUUGCACCAGUUUCUCCAUGGUAAGUUGCGUUUACUUAGAAACAUUGAUGUCCUUUGCCAAAAAGACAUGUCUGCCAUCAAAUCUGCAGAAAGGAUCAUUGUGAAUUCAUAUAAUUAAAAGAUUCAGUAAAAGAAAAAUGAUUCAUUUGUUGGGCUGAGCCUUUCAUCAGUGUCUCUCUGCCACCCAGGACCAGGACCUUUGAACUAGAAUAAGAACCCAAUAGAUUUCAUUUGUUGGUAGGGGUGGGCUGGGUUGGGAUACAAGGCUCAGGACUAAAAUAUGGGCCUUCAUGGUUGGGCAUAUGCUCUUCUCAACUUGUGGUAAGGUCCAAUAUGAUUGUUAAGCAAAAUUGCCCAGUUUUUAUUUAUUAUUUAUUAAUAUAAUCGAAAUUAAAGACGGAUAAUUAUUCUUAACCACUUGAGCUACAAGCGUAAAUGUUGAAGUAUAAUGGCUAAAAAACAGAUUGAUGGUAUCUACUGUAAGUAUACUUGCAGACACCAAUGAUUAAUCAAAAGUGGAUUUUAAUUUUUACUGGAGUAUAUUCUCAUUUGUUUGAAAGCAAACUGCAAUCAUGCAAAGUCACAGAGUUUACAAGGUAACAAUAAUUAAUUUAAUUAAUCCUAGUAAUAUUUGACAGAAAAGAAAGGGGUGUAUUGGUUGGCACUGGCAGGCAGUGGUAUGUCGGUGGUAUCUUCUGUUUAGCACCAUCCUUCCUUCCUUUUCAACUACAGAUCAUGUUCACGUUAUGCUGUGUUUUUUAAAUGGGAAAUAGCCCUAAAUGACACCCAUUUCAUAAUUUUAAUUAAAAAUACCAUCCCUUCCCAAUUUUUGUACAACUAUCACCUAUAAAUAUAAAAUUAUUGUCCACUUAUUGCUGAUUUUUCACAAGUUCAGAAAUUUUGGAGAGAAGAAGCUCACACAGCUCUCUCUCUCUCUCUCUCUCUCUGGCACAGCUCUCUUUCUCUUUGGUAUCUGUGUAUCACAGCUCUCUGUGUCUCUCUUGGCUCUCUCUAUCUUGGCUCUCUCACUCUUGGCUCUCUCGCUCUUGGCUCUCUCUCUCUUGGCUCUCUCGCUCGCUCUCUCUCUCUAGCACAACUCUGUUUCUCUGUUUCUCAUAGCGCAGCUGUCUCUCUCAAGCUCCGUUAUGUCCCUUUCUCCCCUAUUCGAUCUCUUGCUCUCUGUUUGGAAUCGCGAACCCCUCCCUUUAGCUAUGUCUUCUGAAUAGCUGCUUGCAAGCUUGAAGCUCUAGUGGAUUGCCGACCUCGAAAAGGUAGUGUUGAUGGUUAUUUUCUUAAUAUCAGUAUUAUGUGAAAUGGGUUAUAGUUUGAUUGUUUGGGUUUGUGUUAAAUUCGUUUUGGGUUUAAUUUAUUUGGGUUAGGUUUUGUUGAAUAUUCAUGCUCAUUCAUCUGGGUUUGUACCAAUUGCAUUUAGAUUGGUCUGGAUAUGUGAAUCUUGAAACUUGGGAUUUUCUAUUUGAUGUAGUAGAUCUGUAUAGUGUGAUUCUGUUGUGUUCCUCUUAUUUUACAGUCGUAUUGCUGUUAUAUUGCCAUUAUAUUGCCUAUAUAUUGCUGUUAUAUUGUGGUUAUAUUGCCUAUAUAUUGCUGUUAUAUUGUGGUUAUAUUGCGUAUAUAUUGUGGUUAUAUUGUGGUUAUAUUGCUAUUGUAUUGUAUGGUUAUUGUGGUUAUAUUGUGUGAAUGAAAUGUUGUUUUGUCAUGGUCAGAAAUGGAGACAAUUGUUAUUCUCGUGUGCUACAAUGGAAAAUGGGUCACCUCGAAGAAGAUGUGCAAAUACGAAGGGGGUGACUCAAAAGGCUUAAUAGUUCCACGUACCAUCAAAUUUGCUGAACUGUUGGACCGCGUGCAUCAGAUUGGUAAUACAAACAGCAGGGAAGACAAGGUUUGCUUAAAAUUCUCAGUUUUGGUGGCCUCGAAUGAGUGGAAGCACAUAAAGAUUGAGGACGAUGAUGAUGUCAAUUUUUUUAUGAAGUACAAUUCCGAGGUAACACCUUCAAAACUAGCUCCCUUACUCGUGAGUAUAGAAGAUAAAGGACUGACAAAUGAUGUAGUUCAUAGUAUGCAUAUCACGACAGAUAGUAGUCGGAUGGGUCAUUCUUCAGUUGCCAUUGUUGAAAGCAAUGAAGUAACUUGGAAUAAUACAAAUGUCACUGAUUUGGGAGGUGAAGUAGGGACAGAUUUUAUGGAUAUGAUUGAUUUUAGCGAGGUGGAGGACAUGCAUGGUGGUGAUAAUGGUACUGAAAGAAAUGAAGUGUCAGUGUACUCUGCCCCUCCUAAUUUGGGGUGCUUGAACACAGCUGCCCAGUUGCCAAAAAUGCGUUUAGGAGGAGAAUCUGAACCCACUCGUCAACAUUAUUGGAGUCAAAUGGGUGAACAAAAUCGGUAUAAUGCAGUCGGUGUAAAUGAUGAAGAAGCAUAUUUGGACAGCGGGUUUUCACGAAGCGAUUGGAAUCCAAAAAUUGCAGUUGGGCAAAUUUUCUCUAGUAAGAAAGCAUUGUUGACGGAGUUACGGUUGACGGCAUUAAGAGGCCACUUUGAAUUUAAGGUGCAAUUCUCUUGCACUAAGAGGUUGCUUGUGGUUUGUUGUCAACGUCCAUGCCCAUGGCGGGUCCGAGCAUCGAGAAUUGGAGAAUACAGCUUCAUGAUUGUGAGGUGUACAACUGUUCAUGAAUGUGAUUUGAGGUUCGUAAGUGACAAGCAUCGUCAAGCAACCGCAGCACUUGUAGCCACUUCACUUAAAAGGAAGUUGAAGGAUUGUCGGACAAUAUACACACCAAGUGACAUUAUGAGAGAUGUGAAAUACAACUUUGGUUGCACCAUCCAUUAUUCGAAAGCUUGGAAAGCAAGGGAGUUAGCUCUAUUGUCCAUUAGAGGAUCAGCGGAGGAGGCAUAUUAUAUCCUUCCAGCUUAUUGCUAUGAAUUGGAGCGUAUGAAUCCCGGCACAAAAACACACAUCCGAACUGAUGAGAACAAUCACUUUGUGUAUUUAUUUAUGGCGGUUGGCGCAUGUAUUAGAGGGUUCCGUUCUUCCAUGCGCCCAGUGAUAGCCGUGGAUGCCACUCAUUUAAAAUCCAAGUACAAGGGUGUUAUGUUUGUAGCAAAUGCAUUCGAUGGUAAUCGAAAUAUAUAUCCUCUUGCUUUUGGGAUCGGAGAUUUGGAGACGGAUGCAUCAUGGCAUUGGUUUUUCACUAAACUUCAUGAAGCCAUUGGUGAGUGUCCCAAUCUUGUUAUUAUUUCUGAUCGCAAUGUUAGCAUAGAGAAUGUGUGGAACCAAAUUUUUCCAACUGCACAACAUGGCAUAUGCUUUUAUCAUAUGAAGGGGAACAUGAAACGCACUUGCAAGUUGAAAAAGCGUGAUCACAUACUUAUGCACUUUGAGAAGGCUGCGAAAUCUUAUUCCAUUGCUGAAUUUGAUUGUCAUUUUCAAAAGAUAAAGCGAAAGGAACAUGUUGCUCAAUAUCUUGAAGACGCAGGGUUACAUAAGUGGUCUAGAGCUCACAUGGAUGGACGCCGGUACAAUGUAAUGACAACAAAUAUUGCGGAGUCAAUCAACUCAGUCCUUAGGUUUGCAAGAAUGCUGCCAGUGGUUCAUUUGAUAGGGGAAAUUGUUAAUCUCCUUGUGAAAUGGUUCACCGAACGUCGUGAGUUGGCUUUGAAUUGCACAACAACAUUGUGCCCCAAUUUUGGAGAGAAGAAGUUGAGGAACAGGUUGGAGGAUGCGGCAAGGAUGAAUGUGGUUAAAGUUAAUAAUGCACAGUAUAAUGUUUUGGACGGUGAUAUGGACGGCCUCGUAGAUUUGACGAACAACAGUUGUAGUUGUAGAAAGUUUCAGCUUGAGCAGCUACCUUGUAAGCAUGUAGUUGCAGUUUGCCGCUUCUUGAAAGUAAGUGUAUACGCAAAGGCUUCUCGGUAUUACACUCGGAAAACCUGGAUGGAUGCUUAUUCGGAUAGCAUCUACCCGGUACAACCUCACGGAAUGUGGGAUACUCCUGAAGAUGUUCGAAGUCGAGUUGUGCUGCCUCCCAUGGCAAGGGUCAUGCCAGGCAGACGAAAGAAGUUAAGAAUUCCCUCGCAAGGAGAGGGCACCAUUAGAAGAAAGUGCUCAAGGUGCGGUUCCGCAGGGCACAAUAAAAGCACAUGUAAAAACAAUAUUCCAUUGCGCAAUGUAUCUUAGACAAUAUGAUUUGUGUUGCUUUAGUAGGUCAUGUAAACUCUACUUUUAUUUGUGGUGGGUUUCGUGUUAUGUUGAAUGGGAAUUCUUUUAAAUUUGCAUUAUUUGGGUUGCAUUGCUACAGCAUGCUGUAUUGCUGACAGAUUGCUAUUAUAUUGACCUUUUAUUGUACUGGUAUUGCUUCCAGAUUGCUAUUAUAAUUUGAGUGCGAAAUUAAAGGGACUGGAAUGUAAUUCCAAAUGGAUCCAAAACAUUAAAGUGCUUAGAAUUCCUAUAUUACACAGUUACUGUGAUACUCCGACUAUACCUUCUUUUUUUAUUACAAAUUCGGCCGAUGCAUAGGCCAGAUGUGGGGCAAAUACAAGGUGAAAUAUCCUGUGUGUUUGACUACAUAUACUUGUUGAAGGAGCAUUACGAAUGUCAACCUCAAUACAUUGCUCAUGUCUUGCCAAGAACACUCUUGAAUUUAUGCAAUGUGCCCAAGCCAGGCCCAAAGCUGGACUCACCCGUCUGCCUGAUGUGUCCAGGGACUCCAAGUUUCCCAACCUCACCCCAUUCACUCCAUCAUGUGGCCCAAUAAAAUCCACCACUUGGUUGGUGACAACCACCACCAACCCAAACUUAUUUGCUAAACCCUUCAAUGUCCCCGAUAUGUUGAAGAACAUUUCAGACCGCCGUUUCAAAUCUGCCGGUGUUGUCUGAUACUGUGUUCGGAACAAUGCAGCAAUGGAAUCAAUGACAAUGAGUUUCACAGGUAGGCGGGUGUGAUCAAUGGCAAUAAAUGCUUCUAUGUCUCCAAGGACAUGGAUGAGUUCUUGAGCAUCAUGAACACCAUGAACAUAUAUGUCUUCCAAUGGCUCCAACCUUAUUAAGUUGGGGUAUGAUGCAUGAUAAAGGUUGCCUAGUUGUUGCAAUCGACGAAAUGGGAAGCUGAAUUCUGUGAAUAUGUAGACGGAGGAGCCUCCUAGUCCGCCAUGUGAGGGUGGGAGCUGAGCUCGUACCGUAAGUUGGAGACAAAGCUGCGUCUUCCCAGAACCACUCUCCCCUACUAAUUCUGUUAUGGACUUGCAAGGUAUCCCACCCCCCAAGCAGUGAUCUAGUAUUGGGCAUCCAAUGGAUAAUUUAGGGGUUGAAAGAGGAAGGAGCAUGAGGUUUUGGGGUGUCAUGUUUCUGUAAUUUAGGGGGGGAUGUGAUGGUGCUACAAAGCAUGCAUUAUAUAUAUAUAGAGUUCAUUUUGAAGGUCUGUACUGUAGGCCAUCUGUCUUUUAAGGGAUGUAUAAUUCAUCCUUUUUUCCAGGUUGUAAUUACUUUUUUGUUUAUUUAUUAGUAUUUUUUUGGAUCAUAUAAUUUAAAACUUGAAUACAUGCAGUACGUCCUGUAAGAGGAUCAUAUUGUAUCUCUAUCGCCACUCUAUUGUACUGAUAUUGACAUAAUAUUGCCACUAUCCGCAUGUUUAUUGCAUAUUUAUUGCUGCUAUAUCGCCACAGAACUGGAGACCGAUAAACUGUAUACGCACAAAUACAAAUACAACAACAGGCUUCAUCAUUCCAUAAAAUCCUAUUUCCAAACUUACAUAAUACAACAACAGGCCACCCCAUCGUUACAUAAUACAAAAAUACGCCACCUCAUAGUUCCAUUUCCCUACAAAAUGAGGCUUCAUCAUUCCAUAAAAUCCUAUUUCCAAACUUACAUAAUACAACAACAGGCCACCCCAUCGUUACAUAAUACAAAAAUACGCCACCUCAUAGUUCCAUUUCCCUGCUGUUGACAAAUUCGAACUUGCAUACUCUUCAAGUGCGGUGACCGCGACCCAUGAAAUUCAUGACCCCGGCCACAGUGAUGUUGGCCCAGUUUCCUGCCGGAUCCACAAUUUUUGCAAAUUUACGAAAUAGUUCGAAUCCCUUUUCCACUUGUUCUUGCUUCAACUUGGCCAUUGCUUCUGAUUCCUUGAAUACCAUAAUUGCAGUGGCAGGGGCAAUUUCAAUUUUUUCUUUCAUUCUCUUUAUAUGUAGGAGAUGCAUGCGCGCAUGAUAACGAGAGCGAAUUGUGCGGUUUUUUAUGACACCCCAUCUAGCUUGGCCCUCCACAAUUUUUGAAACUAUCUCUGCAUGAAGAUUUUUCCAAAACAUGGUAUUGCCUCGACAUUGCUGUAUGCCAUGGACCAAGUCUGCAGGGAGUGAAUUCGGUGACUUGGCUUCUGUUUCAGUCUCCCCUCCUUCAGUAAUUGAAAGCGUUGGGUUUGGUGUGAGGUUAUGGUCCAUGGUCUUUGAUAUUUAUUGUUGCCUGGUCUACAACUUCAUUGGAACAACAGGGGACUAAAUGCGAUGUGAGUGAAAUCAGUGGGGAAGGUAAUGACUGUAAGCAGCAGUUAAUGUGAUGGAAGUUUUCUGAGCCAAACAGCUAGGUUGAUUAAUAUAGGCAGGUUUUAAUGACCAAACCAGUAAGUCAGAGAGUUAUUGGCGGGAGGGAUUAGGGGGAGUAAUUGGCGGGAGGGAUUGGCGGGAGUGUUAGGCGGGAUAGUAUUGGGCGGGAUAGUAUGGGCGGGAGUUAUUACCCAGGUUGACUUUAUGCCUUUUUGUAAUCUAUUUGUAUGUUGGACGUUCCGAACUUGGUAAUUUUCCCAUUAUGUAUUUGAAAUAAGGGAGUUGCCUAUUUGCCUAAUUCACCACCUCAUUCGAAUUGACCAAUAAUGGUUAUUGUCUGAUUUCUCAUUUCAGCAAUCUCAAUUCGUUUCCAUUUUGCCAUUUUUCAUAUUUUCCUAUUUUCCAUGUGUCAUCCAAUUUUUCAAUUAUUCAUUAUUUGUUCCUAUUCCCUAUUUUCCCAUUUUCCAACUUCCUAAGUUUCCUUUUGUUCUAUUUCCAGUUGUCCAAUUUUUCAAUGUUCCCAUUUCCCCCCAUUAUGUACUUAAAAAAAGUUGCCUACUUUGCCUAAUUCAGACAGUAAUUAAAAUUGUCCAAUAUGGUAAUUGUCUUAUUUCCCAUUUCCACAAUUUCAAUUCGUUUCCAGUUUUCUGAUUUUCCAUGUGUCCCUGUUUCCUAUUUCCAUUUUUCAAAAUUUAACAUUUUGUCCAAUUAUCCAAUGUUUUUAUUUCCAAUUCGACUAUUUUCUAAGUUCCUUUUUUUCCAAUUUCAAAUUUUUCAUUUUGGUAACUGUCCUUUUGUUCAAUUUCCAAUUUUGCUAUUUUCCAAGUUGCCUUAUUUCCUAUUUUUCAUUUAUCCAGUUAUCCAAUAUUCCAUUUUUCCAAUUUUCCAAUUUUCAAUGUCCCAAUUAGCUUAUUUGCCUAUUUUCCAACUGUCCUUUUUUCUUAUUUACUAUUUCGAAUUUUCGACUUUUAAUGUUUUCAGAGUUUCCUUUAUUGCCUAUUUCCAUUUUUUCCUAUUUUCCUAUUUUCCUAUUUUCCAAGUUUCCUUUUGUCCAAUUUCAAAAUUUCCAAAUUUCCAAGUUGCUUUCUUUUCCAAUUUACAAUUUCCAAAUUUCCUAUUUUCCAAGUGUCCUUUUUUCCUUUUUCCAAUUUUCCUAUUUUCCAACUGUCAUUUGAUCAUAUUGCUUACUUUCCUGUUUCCAAUUUUUCCUUAUUUUCUUUUUCCAAUUUUUGAAUUUUCCAACUGUCAUUUGAUCCUAUUGCCUAGUUUCCUGUUUCCAAUUUUUCCUUAUUUCCUUUUUCCAAUUUUCCAAUUUUCCAAUUUUCCAAUUUUCCAAUUUUCCAAUUUUCCAACUUUCCAUUUUUUCGUAUUUCCGAUUUUCCAAUUUUCCAUUUCUUCAAUUUCCAAUUUUCCAAGUUUCCUUAUUUCCCAUAUCCAAGUUUUAAGUUUUCACUUUUCCAAAUUUCCAAUUUUCGUGUUUUGCUAAUUUCCUAUUUUCCAAUUUUGUGUUCUGAAAUUCGCAAUAAAUGCUUACUUACCUAGUCCUAUUUUGGGUUCCAAUCCACAAUUUCGUAUCUCCCAGUCAGGUUUGGUUUUUUGUCGUUUGGAAGCCAAUUUUAUUGUUGUUAAUGUCAUGUUGUACUGCUGUAACUGACAGCCAAGGAGUUAAUGGUGUAGUUUUGAAUCCCAUCAAUUUAAUGCACCAACACAAAACCCAAUUUACCUCAUAUAAGUUCGUACAUAUCACUGAACCUUCCUAUAUAGAACUGCAACAGAGGCACCUUCUUAACGGGAAAGGUAAUUAGUCUUACUGAAAGGCAAAUAUUCUCCACUCAACCUAACCAUAUAGUCGUUUACAACUGGAGACUGAAUGUACCUCUAUUUGUUUGGUUGCAGGCAACAGCUGUGAAUUGUCCCCAGUAAUACUUCAACAUGUCAGAUGUACGCCCUCCUAACGAGCAUGUGAGUUACCCGGGGGACCACCCCUGGCAUGUGCCAUUCCCAUCUCCACCUCGGACUCCCAAUCAUGAUCCCACUUCAUCUGGAAGUGAGGCUGACACUCAUGAUCCCCUUGACAAAAUCUCUGCCGUCAAGCACCACCUCCAAUAUAUGUCAAAGGCAACGGAUUGGUGGGAGAGUAAGUGCGAUAUUCAUGGCCAAGUUAUGGGAAACUUGGCCAACAAGUUGAACAAAGCAUACGCUGGAGAGGUGAAGCAAGCUCUUAAAGCAAAAAGUCGGAGCAAAGAGUUAGAGUCCUUGAAGUUGAAAUUGGAAGACACAAAGAAAAAUGCCCUCGAAACAUUCACACAAUCUGAAGAAUAUAACCAUGAAAUGGUUGAAUGUUUCAACAACGGCUUCGAAAUGUUCCGAGAUUAUGCUUCGGUCAUCUCACCAGACCACAAUUGGAGUGAAAUUGAUGUAGCUGGUGUCUGGCAGGUACUGAAUAUGGGUUCUGAUGGAAUGGCUCAUCAUAGCCUCGUGCAUGCAGCGAGAAGAAAGGACAAAGACAUGGAUCUUUUGAUGGACCUGUACUAACGGUGAAUGCUGCUUCAGUUCAUCUCACCCGAGUACAUGGAUCUUUUGUUGCCUUCAUUUUCCCUUCGCGGGAUAGAUAGUAUUGUUCAGUUUGGGAGGCGAUUUCUUUCGCAUGUGUGAAAUGUUGUCUGUAAUGUGUAUGUAUUGUAUGUACAUUGACUUAAUAUUGCAUUUGUAUUGUGUUUGUAUUCCCUUAAUACUGUAAUGUAUAUGUAUUGUAUGUAUAUUGCCCUAAUAUUGCCUUUAUAUUGUACUUAUAUUGCUCUACUAUUGCCUUCGUAUUGUAUAUUUAUUGUGGCCAUAUUGCCCUACUAUUGCCUUCGUAUUGUAUAUUUAUUGUGGUCAUAUUGCCUUCGUAUUGCCUUUGUAUUGUACGCAUAUUGCCCUACUUUGGAAUAUGAUGAGGACUGGAAAAUAAAUCCACAGGCUCAGAAUCACCAAUUUUGCCUCCUUCAAGAGGCGUCCCAUGCUUGUAUGCAACCCUCACAGCUUCAUCCUCGUUCAGCCUCGCUUGUGAAGUCCCAGACUUCAUGUCAUCUUUGCUAUUUGCCAAUUUCAGUUGCAUCACCUGGCCGUGUCUAGGGUUUUUUAUCUGCUUUCGUUUCAUUUUUAAGCUCUGCUUUGAAUCAAUACGUGGCAUAUUGGCUGAAUAUGGGAGUGACAAGAUCAAUUCUUACUCUCCCUAAGUGGAUAAAAUAGAUGCUCAAUAUGAAUCCUUUCCUCCACAAGUUUCUGUACAGUGCCGUACGUUGUGUGUUUUAGGUGCCACACUGGCUUAUUAAAAUUGAUGCUUGGCCAUGAAAAACUUUUUGUUUUCUUACUUUAAGAAAAUUACAUAUUUGUGUCAAUAACUAAGUUUGGACUGUUAACAAUCAUUCAGAAGAAUGGUAGAAAUAAGCUCCACUGUGCCAAUCCACGAAGUUGAACAAAUAAAUUGUGUUCGAUACACAGAUGACAUGUGAAACUAACAUUAGCAUUCUCCAAUAAGAAGACUUCUCUUCUUUCCAACCCCUCGUCGAUUGAGAAAGAAAGAAGAGGGACAAAACACACACUACCAAGUUAAGGUGACAUUACAAACCUAAAAAAUAUCGUCAUCAAACUUAUAAUGCUCCUUUUUUUCUUCUUUAAAGCAAAACUUCAUUCAAACUGAGAUAACCACGUGCUCUCCAUAAGCACUCCGGAAUUAUUUGCUCAUUAUCUGCAUCGCCUUCUGUCUCAACUUGAGGCUUGGAAGGAGCUUUGGCACUAGGAGGCUGCUUCUUCUUCAUCCCACUCACAAUGUCAUCGAUUCUGAGAAGUAGGCAAGCAGCUUCUAUGGCCGUUUUAAAACUCUGGCCCUUCACGUUGUAGGCAUCCCAUAUCUGACAUCAUAAUUCCUCAAAAUGAACAGCCUUACCAACAAAAUAUAUUUAUGGGGAAAUUUUGUAAUAACCACGACAACAGCACUUCCCCUCACAUGAGUGCUGUCGAAAUAUAUUGGGAGAAGCUCUAAACUAGAACUACUACUGAAGCAAAUCGACAAUAUAAACCAGAAGAUUGACACUUAUGCCAUAUCAAUAAAGGGACAUAUAAUGGAUACAUUUGAGAACAAUACUACAUUAAAAGUCCUAUUUCAGAGCUUUCAGCAAAUAUAAAUCACCCAACAAAUGUGAAUAUUGAGAUAGCGAAGGAAAUAAAAGAGAGCAACAAUAGUAAGCCAAAAAGAUAUCCACCUAUCUUUUUCUCUUUCACAUCAGUUAUCACACCAGUGUUACCAUCAAUGUCAAUCCAAGAUUUUUCACCAUUUGCAUGCUAUGGAAAAAAAAUUGUGCUUAGGAUCUAAAUGAUGCAUCAUAUUAUGACCAAAAUAAUAAUGAUGCAUCAGAACGUAUAUAGAAAUGACAAAUCAUUAAAAAACUGAACAAAGCCAUACAAAACAGAUUCAAACCUUUCCCUGCAGCGCCGUCAUUGUUCUAAUCACAUUCACCCCGCAAUUCUGAGCCAAAGUACGUGGUAUAGCCUCAAAAGCUAUAACAGCAGCUUCAUACAGCCACUGUUUUACCAUAAAAACACGUGUAGCCAUAAAACUCCAAUCAAAUGCAUGUAAAGUGAAACCACAACUAAUUCUUAAUCUAAAGUAUGUCAACGAGCAUGUGAAUUGAAGUGACAGCCAGUUUAUUCACAUAAUUUAGAUUUGUACUUCCACAAGGAGUUAUUUUUGGACGAGUUUUACACAACAAAUACCAAACUUUUGGAUGAGGAAAGGAGCUUUUACCUUUUCUAUACCUUCCACAGAUGAACUCUUUUGCUUCAAUGUAGCAGAUACAGUUAACUGUGUAGCACCACCACCAGGACCAAGUUUCGGAUUCUUGAGGAUGUUUCUUGCUACAGACAUGGCAUCCUAUGACCAGAUAUAAGGGAGUAAAUAUGACAUUUCAGCAUAAUAUAUUUAUUCUACGUAAUGGGGACAAAGAAGUAAAACUAUUAUACGUACAAAUUCCUUUCCACUUCAUUUAACAGAUCCUUACUAGGACCUCUCAAGAGUACAGUACAUGCUUUAGGCUCUUUGCAAUCAACAAUGAAUGCAAAAAACUCAUCACCAAUUUUCUUAACCUCAAAUAUCCCAGCGCGUGUACCAACAUCAGACUGUUGCAAUUCAUCUGGUCUGUUAACAAUUACAGCCCCAGAAGCCUUGGCAAUUCGGUUAUUAUCUGUUUUCCGCAACCUCCUCAUUCCACUGACGCCGGCCUUGCUAAAAUAAUGGCAUGCCAAGUCACUAAGCCCCUUUUCUGUGAUAACCACAUCUGGUUUAAACUUCAAUAUUUGCACACAUAGCCUCUCGAUGUAUUCUUCUUCCAAUUGUAGCAGGACUCCCCAAUCUUCUUCUUUAAGCAACUCAGCAUUUGUUUGGUUCUCGCCUUUCUUAUAUUCGAGCGGCCAAUCAAGAAGAAUGAUGCGUUGGUUGAAAAUCUUUCUUCUCAUUUUUCCAGGUGCAAUAACAUCUUUGUUAAUCAUUACUCCUUUGCGAACCACUGAAUCUUCCAACUGGCCACCAGGGACCUUCUCAACCUUUAUGUACUUUUGAAUAUCCAUUCCCGCAGACCCUGGCCAAGGUUUACAUAUUGACCAUAAUCAGAAUAUUGGGGAACAAAAUACCACAGACAAAUACAUGAAAUGAAAAACGACUCGGCAGUUACUGUGAGAUAAACCAGAACAUAAAACUUGGAACAACCAAACCAAUUAAAGCAAAGCCAUGUCAUACAAAAAACCUACAUCAAAUAACAGUGUAUGGUCAUCUUGGUUGGAAUAUUGCAAUCAACCCUUGGUUGAGACCAACCUGCAAUAACAAUUGGGUUCAGUGCAGAUGAAGGCAUUUAUGAAGGGCAGUUCUACAAUGAAGACUAUGUUCAUUUGUAACUGCCAGCAAAUCAGUUCAUUGUUCAUAGUGCCAAAUUUCAUACUGCCAAAUCAGUUCAUAGUACCAAAUAAGUUUUUGUAUUUGUGUUGGCAUAGACAGCCGAAAAGAAACUUACAGGGUGAGGUGAAUUAUCGGACAUGAAGAAAUUUACCUCAUAAAUAUGCCUCCCCCCUUAAACCCUCAAUUGCAAGCUUGAGUCGGUAAUAUUUGAUCUUCAAAGGGUCAACUUUAUCUACCGACAUCCCAGCACUGAGAUGCUCGAUGAAUUUGACGGUCAAGAUUCCGCAAGACGCACUGUGAGGCGAAUUAGUUGGGAAAUUAGAACUGCAGUUAUGUCAAAUUUGGAUAAACAGCACAAAAUUCACAAACGUUACCCAUCUCGUUGUUGUGGCACAUCUGCAAUGCUGCACACUGAGAAUGGCGUAUACAUCGACAUCGUCAGCCCCUUUUGCUUCACCUCUUCAACCUCAGAAUCAUCAUAAAAGUGCAUAUCGAACAGCACUCGUGCCAGCGUAUCGCUAAUAGGGUGCAGUUGCGUAACCAGCUUUGAACGUUUCGUAUAAUCAAUAUAGGAGUCAUACACGGUUGCAGUAUGUCUUACGAAAUCAAGUUCGAUUGCAACCCAAUGAGACCCUUUCAGAUUAUAUGGAAAAUACACCUUCCGGACUUUUGUCCAAGCUUGGGCAUAGCCGUGUUGCCACGUACCACGCACAAAGUGAUGUAAAUUCUUCACCUUGCUGGCUGGAAGGUCAACGGUGUUUGAACUAGAAGCCUUCUUCGAUCCACGUUUCCUGCCCGUCGGUUUGAACGGCUCUAGAAAUUGCUGCAUAAAUUUAAAUGAAGGCAUAUUAGAAAAGCACAACCGACAGCAAAUGAAGCACAAAUUGCUGCACAAUGGUUACAUGUUUACCUGCAAGCAACAAUCUGCCGUUGUCCAGUCCGUUCCAAAAACCAACGGAUGAGAUAGUUGCCUUUUGCGGAUAAGAAAGGUUGCCAUGUCCAGGUGCUGAAAGUUGACACAUAUAAUAUUAGCACAAUUUCAUACAACUCAACACUUAAAAAAGGUGAGAAAACAAUUGAAUUAUCGUAAUAAAGUACAGCUUUGUGUAUCGUUACCCUUGAGCUCAUCCAUUCGGUUUCAUCGACAAGUCUGUAGAAAAAAUCAGCGCCCACUGAAAAUGAUUCCAGCUGCACCUCCGCACUACAAAAGGCAAACUUGCAACGGUUACUUGUGUCGUCAUGUCAUAAAUAUGACUUUGUUGAUGAAAAAAAGACACAUGUAUAUUAAAGCAAACUCUGCAUUCUCUCAUUAGUGUAUGACUACAUAGUACAAUAGGAUGAAUAUUGGAAUUGAAAGGUCAAGAAUCGUAACCUGAUAUCGCUUUUCCAGGCACUGCAAAACUGUAUUACUGCCUUCACAUCUUCAAUGGGCAAGGAUUUGGAUGGAUCAAAACAUGGCGGGGUUGCAGUCGCAGCCGACACAGUCAUCGUCCUCUUCUUCCUCAAAGGAUCUGUAAAUGGGCUCAACAAUGUCUGCGCCGGGCGCUUCUGUCUGCACCCUUUACCUUUCACUUCUUUGUUUUCAACACUUGAACUACCUUCUUCAUCACCAGCCAUAGUAACUGUGGGUAGACUUGGAGGAUUCAUCAAACCUCCCGAUGGCAUACUCUUACUGAUUUUCCAAUCUUCUAACAGCUUCAUGACUCUUUGGCAGAUUUCGUCACACCCAGCAACAUCUUCCGGGGUAGGCAGCUCAUCGGAUUCUGCCGGGUCAGCUACUUCAUGCACUUCUGAGUGAGGAACUGAAGCGGCCAAUUUUGCCUCUUCAACUACCAUGGCUGCGGAAGGUUCGGCUCCAUCACCGGGGACUUGUGUUUCCAUUACUACCGGUUCUGUCAGCGGACUUACAUAGGCAUGUAAUGGCGACAAGUCAUUGUUGCCUCCUUCAUUCAUAUGAGGACUACCGAGGUCCUCAUGUCCUUCCGCAGCUUCAUUCACCCCACCAUUUUGUUUUUUCAGCUGCUCUAUCUCCAACUUAAAAUAAUGCUCCAUUGAAGACAGGGUGUUGCGGAAAUCCUCCACACACUUUGUAUAUUUUUCAAACUCUUUUUCAGCUUUCAUUGACUCCUUCCGUACCUUGUCUUCCAACUGAUGCACUCUGUCGCAAAGUGCUCGAUUUGAUAGGGAAACUUUGGCCAAUUCAUCCUUUGUCCUUUGAAAGUCACGCUUCAAAGUGCGUAACUCUCUGGACGCGACUGUACCCUGCACUAAGUUAUAAUGCAUGUGUUACUAUGCAGGCCACAAAAUAUUGCAACUAUAGAGCAGUUAUUUUCCUAUUGUAAAAUGACGUAUAUCUUCGAAAAACUGUAAUGCUUGCCUUAGAAGACGACGGAAGGUUUGCAGUAUCGUCAAUGUCCUUCUCUUUUUCUUCUACAGAGGCAGAAGUGGCGGUUUGUUGUUCAGCGUCAUCGCCCAACAAGUGAACAAGUUCUUCACUGUCGUCAGCACUGUCACCCCAAGUCCAAUACGGCUGCUGCUUGUCCAUCACAGAUGGCCGAAGAAGCUGCACAUCAACCUGCAAUUUACACAUACAAUAUACAUAUCAGUAAAGUAAUUAUAUUAUAUUUUCAUAUCCCGAACAUGAUCAUUAAAAACUGAACUAACCUCACGGUUCUCGAAUACUUGGCUCAUUAGCUCAUAAAAACGCGGCGAACUAUUGCUCCUCCAAUGUAGUAAACGAGGGAUGUGCGCAUUUUCUUCGUGCACCACCAAAUGUAGUGCAGCCAACGCUGGAAACACCUCAUACGCCCAAAUCUGGUUUCAGGAAUAAAAGGUCAGUCAUUGUAAACAAAUGCAAUUUAACUUCAACAUCAAUGGACAUUUGCUCACCUGAAGUGCAUACGGAAAACCUUUGAGGUGGUACUCUCUUGGUCUACCGGUUGCCGUUGUUGUUGGUUUCUUUCCAGAUUUUUUUGUUUUGGCAGUUUUUGUGGGCACUUUCACUCGCUGGUAAUCUGCACAAAGUGCCCUCAGCAGUGACGCAUUUGUCUUCGCAUAAGACACAGCACCCCAUGGAUACUUCCCAAAGUCUUCAAGGUCUUCCGCCAACUUCAAAUAUCGCAUGUCAAUGUGGACAUGUUUUUCGCUGCCCAACAGCACAAAGACAGCAAAGUAUACGAAUCCAAGCUUCAAUACAUCGUCCACAUCAUCGCAUUGGAGGAAGGCCUUUUCUAAUUCCAACAGGUUCACAGCUUUAUCGUUGGCAAAGUACUUCCGUUUCAAUGAGCAGUUCUCAUUCGUGGGAAUCGGAAUCAAGGGAAGGUUUCCAAACCUUAGCCCUGUCACGAUGCAAAAUUGCUGCGCCGUGAAUUGGAUGACCUUCUUGCCAACGAUGAAUUUGAUCCCGUUCAGUUGGGAAACUGUCUUGGGAUCAGCUUUCCUGAGCAGCAACCCGUGGACAAUCGGAGAAGUCCACUUGAGGUCCUCAAUCCCUAGGAGAUGACCAAAACAACUCUGUUCAAACAGUUGCAGCUGCUGUUCAGUGAAUUUCUCCUUUAUCGUAGUGAUUGCCGUCUUCGUAUGGGAUAACGACAAUGCUUUCCCUUGGAAUUUUUGUUCCUCCGCAAUCAUCAACUUCAUUUCACCAACCAUAUUGCCCUGCAUGCCAAUAUUAUAAACAGAAUUUCAGUCGGUUGCAAUCUACACAAUAACAAGCAAUAAACAAUCACCACUUAUGAACAGCCUAUUAUAGGAUAUGAAGUGAAAAAAAUUCAAAAAAUACAUAUCAUAAACAAAACCCCAGCUAUUUACAACUGACCUCCUCAUUUAAUGGCUCAAAGCCAAGUUUCAACACACCCAGUACUCUACCACUCCUCCAUAAUAUAAUAUCUAAACACACAUCUCAACACACCAUAUAAUCACACCAUCUAAUCAUGAGACAGCUUCCGCUAGAAUGGGAAUGUGCGGUAGCACAAGCCUAAUUGACAACAAUUCAAGAGUAACGAUAUCAAUCUAUCUGACUAGAAACAGUUUUAAAAAACACCAAGACAUCGGGAAACAAUUUAUUCACUUCAAGGUAUAAUGUAAUGGAACAUCCUAUGAAUUAGUGGCAACCACAGUACUGACUCUACUAUGGCCCUCCUUUCAAAUGUAAGAAAAUGAAAGAAAUUGGCACCAUCCCUUCAGUUUUUUCUUAACAAAAAAUGAAAGAUAAAUUCAUAAAUAAACCAUCAAAACGGUAUAAAAUGUUUGUAAGACAUGUACAAUUACAAAAUUAUAAGUUCUCCUCAGAAACAGACUUCUCUAAGUAUCCAUACACAAACAACAAAAGCAAAAGCUUAAACAGUUAGCUUAUAGCAAAAUCAAUGUCCCUAUUUCUCUAAACCACAGCUGCUGCUGCUGGUAGGUUCCCAUCUUCACUCAUUUCCCGCUUUCUUUUAAGCACACAAUGAUCAAGCACAAAACAGCAAACUUUUAAACAACUCAUAUUACACCACAUAUGGUUCUAAACAAAACUCAUCCAUAUCCAAUAUGCAAGCCCUAAACUUAGUAAACAAAGUAAUACAAAAAUAUGUAAAAAGACUUAGAUUUGAAACUCUGCACCAUCUUACAAAGUAAACCACCUAUAUUUUCACAUAAGAGGACUAGUAAACAUCUAACAAAAUUUAAGACCUUGUUGCACCACAUAUGCACUUGUUUAUUUGAAUUGAACCUACAAAGAAACCUCACCCAUUUUUUAGCAACACCUAUAAAUGACACAUACAAUUUUCCUUCUUUGGAUGGAAAAAAAAAACAACACGAAACACAAACUUUAAUUGCAAAAAUCACAAAAACCAUUAAAACCAUAAUGAAAACGAGAAUAAAAUCAUAAUAAACUAGCAAUACAACAGCACUAAAAUGCCAAUACACAACCACUAAAUUGGCAAUACGAUAGCAAAAAACAGCACUAAAACAUCAAUAAAACAUUAAUAACAACAACAAAACAACAGCAAAAUAACAGAAUUCCAAAUCAAACGCAAGAAUCAAUCCACAAAGAAUAAACCCAUUCAAUGUUUCAAAUACGGAAUCAUCAGAAUCAGACAAUUUCAAAGGAACCCCUCAACCCUAAACCAAUUUCAGACAAACCCCUAAAUCCUAAACCAAUUUCAGAGAAACCCCUAAUCCAAUUUCAGAGAUACUCCUAAACCCUAAUCCAAUUUCGAAGAAACCCCUAAACCAAUUUCAUAGAAACCCAUAAACCCUAAACCAACUUCAGAGAAACCCAUAAACCAAUUCAAAUUGACGAUGAACAGUACCUUUUGCAGGUGAACGAUGGAAGAGGAAGACCACUGCUUCACAAAGAGAGAGAGAGAGAGAGAGAGAGAGAGAGAGAGAGAGAGAGAGAGAGAGAUAGCUGUGCAACAGAGCCCCUAGAGCUUCCCGCGACAGUAAAAGAGAGAAGAAAGUGUGAGAGCUGAUCGAACAGAGAGUGAGACUUGAGCAAUACAGACAGACAGAGCUGAACAGAGAGUGAGACUUCAGCAAUAGAGACAGAGAGAGCUGAACAGAGAGUGAGACUUGAGCAAUAGAGACAGAGAGAGCUGAGCGACAGAGAGAAUUUUUUUUUAGCAAAAGUGAUAUGUGUGCAAUAAGUGGACAAUAAAUAUAUAUUUAUAGGUGAUAGUUGCAAAAUUUUUGGAGAGAGAUGGUAUUUUCAGUUAAAAUUAUAAAAAUGGUGGCAUUUAGAGCUAUUUCCCUUUUUAAAUUCACAUAGCUCUCCCUCCUUCCAUAGAGAUAGAGGCCACAGCAAAAGCCCAGCUCAGUUCGCCAAUCCCAAGAUUCUAUACUCGGCCAACAAUAAUGACGUGCCAACGACGCGUCGUACACUUACUCUCGUCUUUUUUUGAAAAAUAAUAAUUUGUCACUGCUCUUCUACUCAACAACCAUGAUGGGUGGUGGUGGUGUUUCUUUUCUUCUAGAAUAGAUCUCAAAUUCCACUUUCAAAUACAGACAACGGUUGUGAAUAGGACGCAAAAUAAUUUAAAAUGGAUGUUUGUACCCAUCGUGGCUACUGCUUCUCCUCAUUAUUGCACCAAAAAGAGGAAUUUUAUGAACACGAAAUCCCACAGGCAGACAGAGAGUAAAGAGAGAUGAGGAAUUUGGUAUGGGAUGUUUUCUGUUUUGGUACCACUUACUUGCUACUACUAAUUAUUAUUAUUAUUAUUGUAUGGCAUUUACUACGUGCCACCGCUACCUAUUUACUAUUUAUAUAUAACAAGGAAAGCCCGUAACUGGAAAAUAAAAAAAUAACCAUUUUCAUUUGUUUUCUUUUCUGAGAAAUUAUCUACUAAUGAUAAUUUGGUCUUCCAAUUAAUAUUGAACUAACUCGUUAAUGAUGUCAAUUCAACCCUAAUAAUACAUUGAUAAUGUGUAAGAGAAAACCUCAUCUCUCUUCCGAUCGUAGACAACCAAAAAACCAUUAACGAUCAAAAUAAUGAAAUUUGGAUCUACCUUGCAGCUUAUAAUAUAGGUGUGGUAAUAGAAAUUGUGACCCAACUUUGCAGUAAAUGAAAGAGACAAGAUGGGCCAAACCCAACCCAACCCAACCCAGUUUAUUCUCUCAACCCUCGAGCAUAUUACACGUGUCCAGAUCUAGGUCGAAGGGAGGGCAUGAUUGUAGAAGAGUAAAAGUGUCGGUCGCAUGGCAAACGCGUAGAGAGUGUAUAAUGUGGCAGCGUCCAAAUGGGUUUGGAGAUUUACGGGUUAGAUUCCACGAGGACAAAUUAGAAUUUUGACAUUUGAAAAUAUCUAAAACGAGCAAAAGCCACCGACGACUUUGAAGGAUUCGGCUGCCCGACUUCUCCCCCAGUGCCUCUUCCCCCACAAAAACGCUAUAACUUGGGUUGGGUGUUGCGCUUUUACCAGAACUGCCGCCCUCAUCGCCAAUUUUGCCGCAAUUUUAGAUGGCAUUGAUGUGAUACUACGUCAAGUACUUUCCAUUCUUCCCUUCCCCACUAAUAAUAGGCAUUCUCUCCAGACCAAUACUUUUGUGGGACUAAAAUAUUAUUAUGUGGCGUUACUAAUCGUAGAUUAUAUACGAUAACUUCUAUAAAAACAACUGUUAUAUUUAUUUAUAUAAUGUCAAUAAAUGUAUACGUAUUACAAUAAGACUAUAUGAGUGAAUUUUUAUCUUACUAACACGACACAUAAUAUGAUAACUUUUUCAAUUAUUAUGAGUCUGAAUAUAAAUACGAGAAGAAGCCUAAAAAUACUAAAAUAAUACUAAAUGUAAGUCUAUUGCUCUAGAUUAUACUUUCAUUAUUUUAGCGGCCUCAAAACAAAUAUUACAUUGUCAUUUUAUUCCUAAGUUUAAUUUUUAUUAGUAAUACGAAAUAAGAAUAAAAAGACAAGAGACUCUAAGAUCUAGCAAUGUGUUGAAAAGGAAGGACAUCUUACAUUUUUUUUUUCUUUUUAUUACAUAGAUUUUUAUUUCCUAAUAUCCAAUUUGUUUUUGUUAAAAGAGUAUUAGUAAAUCACAAUGGGAUUAUUACAUUCUUUUCUUACUUUUUCUGCCUAAUCAUUUGACUCGUUAGAAUUUGAAAUUGACCAAAUCCACACUCUAGCCUUUUCAUCUGAUUGAAUUUCUUUCCAAGUAAAUUUAUGUAACUCUUCUCAAUAUCUCACAUGAUCUCAAAUUACGGUAACCUAAUCAAAGCGUUGCAAAACUGUAAUUCUAUCUAAUACAUCUAUCCUCCCCUCUUCGUACGUGUCAGCACCUAUUCGCACGUGUCACCCCAAGCCUUCAAACUCUUCAAAUACAGGCACAACUCCCACAUUCAACCCAACACUCUCUCUAAAGUCCAACCCCCCAACUUUUUCUUUCCCUCUGAGAAACAGCUAUGGCUGGAGUCAGUAAGGUUGCUCCCACACCUCUGCUCAAAGAUGAGCUUGACAUUGUUAUUCCCACAAUCCGAAACCUGGACUUCUUGGAGAUGUGGAGGCCAUUUUUUGAACAAUACCACCUUAUCAUCGUCCAAGAUGGUGACCCUUCAAAGGUCAUCAAGGUCCCAGAGGGCUUUGACUACGAGCUCUACAACCGCAAUGACAUUAACCGCAUCCUGGGUCCUAAGGCCUCUUGUAUUUCCUUCAAGGACUCUGCUUGCCGCUGCUUCGGCUACAUGGUCUCCAAGAAGAAGUACAUCUUCACCAUCGACGACGAUUGCUUUGUAAGUAUCUAUUUCAACAGCUCGAUCUCUUGUUUGGGAGUUUUUCGGAUUUGGGUUUCGAGUUUUUGGUUCAAAAGCAUGGAUCUUGAUGGGUUUUGGCUGUGGAUUUGCGGGUUUUGCUGGCUUAGUACAGUUUUAUUUUUCAGUUCGAUGUUGAUUUGACUCUAUAUGAUUGCUCGGUACUUAAAUUAUGUUGCUUUUGUUGUUUAGAUCUGUUUCUGCUGUCUCUGUUUGACUUCUGUGCUUCGUCUAUUUUGUCAAUUUAACUUCUUUUUCUGUUGUCAAUGGACAUUGCAUGAUUUGAUCUAUGUUUCUUAUGAUGUAUAUGUUAUUAUUUUACAUACUUUUGGGUUGAUCUGUUUCUUGGCAGAAGCCAGAAUCUCUGUACCAUGAGUUCUUUCAGUUAGUGUAGAGAUGGGGUUUACCAAAUUUACAGAUCUCUCCUUUGCACUGUAAUGGGAUAACUUUCAGAUUCACACUUGAAGAGUUUCAGUCUAUAAAUUUUGAUUAAGAUAUACGUGCUGAAUUUCAAUUUCAUUUAUCUAUGCUUUGAAUCGUUGUGAAAAUAGCAUGUUACGGUGGCCCCUUUGUGUUUCAGAUUUCAUUGAUAUCCCUCUAAUUCUUGUGAGACCAAGUUGAUAUAACUAAUCAUGGUUCUUUUUUAUGAAAAUGCAGGUUGCUAAAGAUCCUUCUGGCAAAGAUAUCAAUGCUCUUGAGCAGCAUAUUAAGAACCUUCUGACUCCAUCAACUCCAUUUUUCUUUAACACCUUGUAUGACCCAUACCGUGAAGGUGCAGACUUUGUCCGUGGUUACCCCUUCAGUCUACGUGAAGGUAUCCCAACUGCUGUUUCUCAUGGCCUUUGGCUCAACAUUCCGGAUUAUGAUGCACCCACUCAGCUUGUUAAGCCUCUAGAGAGAAACACUAGGUACAUUGGUCUGCAAUUUUCAAUCCUUCAGAAAUUUUGCAUUUGAGUGUUUUGCUGACUAUAAUGCCAUGUUUCUAGGUUUGUGGAUGCAGUCCUGACCAUUCCCAAGGGAACUCUCUUUCCCAUGUGUGGUAUGAAUCUGGCAUUCAACCGUGAAUUGAUUGGACCUGCUAUGUACUUUGGACUCAUGGGUGAUGGUCAGCCAAUCGGGCGUUACGAUGAUAUGUGGGCUGGCUGGUGCAUGAAGGUAUCUCUCAAAAUCUCUUUAGAGCCUGUACAUUUUUAUUGUCUUUUGUGAGUGCAUUUCAUUGAUUUUGCAAUCAAAACACACUGCCUUGUGUUUUCAAAUUUUAGUGGGUCACAUGAGUUGUCAUUGUUGGUUUUGUAGGUCAUAUGUGACCACUUGGGGCUGGGAGUGAAGACAGGAUUGCCCUACAUCUGGCAUAGCAAAGCAAGCAAUCCAUUUGUGAACCUUAAGAAGGAAUACAAAGGAAUAUACUGGCAAGAAGAGUUGAUCCCAUUCUUCCAAUCUGCUACCCUUCCAAAAGACUGCACCACCGUUCAGAGCUGCUACAUUGAGCUCUCCAAGCAAGUGAAGGCAAAGCUUGGCAAGGUUGAUGACUACUUCCUCAAGCUUGCAGAUGCCAUGGUCACAUGGGUUGAAGCAUGGGACGAGUUGAACCCAUCUGGAGAAAAAUCUGUUGAGCAGAACGGAGUUGUUGCGAAAUAGAUUGAUCUUUGGUUGCCAUUAUCAUUAAUCUUUCGAUAGUCGGUGUCAGUGAUAGGCCAUGUUUGUAAUCUGAUCUUCCCUUUUAUCCGAGCUUUUGGUUUUGGAGCUAGGAGUCAUUUAUUUGGCAGGUCGGAGAAGAUAUUUUCUUAUUAAUUUAUAUAUCAGCAGUACUAUGAGCUUAGAACAAUAAUGAUGACGGAUAUGUAUUUCUAUAUACAUUAAAAGUGUUAGCUAUUUAUUCAAUUCAACAAUGGCUCAGUUACAGUUUUGUUUGACAUAGUGUUUGCUUUCUUUCAUCUCUUCGAUCUAGUGUUUUUGUUUCUUUCUUUUGCCGACUUUCAGAGCAUCUUUUCCUGGCAUCUCAGAUUCCAAAAUGGAAGCUUAUAUUGAAGUGUAUGCUGCCAAAGAUGAGUUGGCAUUUGGCACUGCCCGUCUUCUACAGUCAAUUUUGCGCAAUUUCAUUUAGAGAAUGUUAGAAAAUAAGGCCGUUUGAGUCUUUGAUACACGGGUCAAUAUCAAGUACGGAAUUCGAUAAGCAAAUGGAGGUGUUUUCAAAGUUUGAACUUUGGGUUUUGCACUACGCGUGACUUUCAUUGCUGCCCUUUGCAUGUCACGGAAUAGCACUGUAAUAUCAGUGAAUCACGCUCUGCCUUGUUAUCUUCGUUGUAUACAAAUUUUUCUGGUUGAGCACCACCAUGAUUGUAUUUGCUGUGAAAAAUAUGUUUGAAAUUGCAGCAAGCAAGGAUUCCAAGAAAUAAGGUAGAACAGUUUGUUUCGAAGAAGAAUUUUUAGAUUUUUUUUUUUUUAACUUAGACUCGGUCUGUUACAAAGGGGCCCUUGUGAAUCAAAUGUCUUGAUUGAUAUCAAUGUUAAAUCAAAUUGUGGAUAUUCUCUCGAUAACUUUUGGCCAAAAGGUCUUAAUUUUCUUACAUCUCUCACACGAGUUAGGUCCCACAAGCGAGAGAAUUGGGGAAAAUAUUUGAAUGUUAAAGCAUUGGGUUUGCUUGCUAAUAAUUAAAGCUCUCUGCUCUGUUUUGAGCUUUUGAUGUGCAUGUUCGUUCCACUUGCUCAACAUGGAAGGAAAAAAAACAUAUUUUCUAGCAAGUGAUUGCGUUCAAAACAUGCUUUCUGAACCACAAAGUUACUUGCAAAUUUGAAUUUGUGAUAAUAGAUGGAUCCAACCAAAUCAGCUGGAGGAAGUUGCCCCGCAAAUGCAGACAUGAUUUAAUAUUGGGUUUGGCAGGACUAACAUCGCUUUCAUUUCACGUAGGUCAUGCAGUCAAGUUUAUCCAACCCACAAAAUGACUAAAAAUCGAAAUCAAAGUUAAUUGGUAGAGCAACUAGAGUUAUUUCAAAUUUAAUUAGUAUAGUUGAGUGAAUGUCACUCUGACCAAAAAAAGAAAGCAUAUCACAUGCACUUCCUCACUGCUAGAUUUGUGAGCAAAUCAACGCAUUUCCUACGUUACUUUCCUUUGACAAUAUUCACAACAAUGCUGGCGCCCAGCCUGCCAUUAACUGUGUCUUGGUUUAUUAAAAAUUAUUGCCAGAUUCUACUCUGAGUAGUAAUUUUUCUCAAUCCAUCUAUUUUGUUUAUUUAUCUGGUUUUAGUGGCGGUAUUCGGUGUUGACAAACCUACUGCAAUCUUGCCCUUCUAUCAUGCAGAUUCAGGCAUUUUGGCAAGUACCAUAUUGUCUAGGCGCUGUUGAACAAUGUUUGGUUCGAUAUAGUUUACUAUCCGAUUCGUAUAGUGAUAACAAAUUUCAUCAGUAGGAUCAAGUGAUUCUUUAUAAAAGCUAGCAAAGAUUGCGUGCCAUAUAAUCAUCAUUUUGUGUACCAACUGUAUGUUCAUUAUAAAGCAAUUAUCCUUCUUUCUUUUCUUUGGUGGAACUGAAAGCAAACUUACCCCUUCCUUGUACUGCUUGCAAGCUCACAUUUAAUCGACCUUUUCAAGUAUGCUAGCUUAAUUAGAGAAGAUUUUAGGGUUUAGGGUUCAUUUCCAAAUGCUCUGCAGAAAGGUAAGAAACAGAACUUUAUUCCCAAGAUGUUUGCUUGAAAGCAGAACUUAUCAAUGACGUUUCUUGAGAAUGCAGAGAACAAAAGAACCUACGAGGUUAGACGAUUAUUUGAGUACAUAUAUAAUUGAACACUUGUAUAAUUUGGGAGUGGAUCUUAAAUCUGACUGCCUAGUACUAAAAACUUGUUAGCAGCUCGUUAACGGAUACUAAAAGUUUCUAGCUUCUUCUUGCAUGCUACUAUCAAUGUCUCUCAAGGAGAUCCAUGGUAGCUUUAUUCCCAAGUGCCACAUGCUUUUGCACCUUGUUUCCUGUCUCAUUACAGACCAAAUAUUUUACUUUCUGAUAUAAAAGGAAGUACAAGAUAGUAAUAUUAUGUCUUCAAAACAGCAAUUGGAUUGAGCAUGCAGCUUAUGAAAAUUACAACUUGAUUCAGACAAAUUCAUUGUUCAAUGUGGCCUAUAAGAAAUAAUAUAAAGCAUACAUUUUUUCAUAUGGCACGGUUCUGAUUUGUAUGGAGGUUAACAUAAUAGGCCAGGAGGAUACUAAUUUUUUCCUCCUGAGAGUUAUCGCGGCAAAAUAUAAAUUUACUAAGAUACACAUUGGCUUACCUAAUUUGCAGAUCACUUAAGUGAUUCUGAGGCAGCAGAAAGCAUCACUUUCCUGCUUCACCUGCAUGGAUUGCCGUUGAUCCUCUACUCGUUGGAGCUGUGAGGAAAGCUGAAGCAAGUCGAUAGUGGUCCCAUCUUCGCAGGACAGACGAUCUUUGGCAUUCACAAAAUCUGAUCCUUGGAAAAUCCCAUCUGAGAUUCCAAAAUCAUCAGUAUCACUGCCAUUACAUAGAAGUAUGGGACCCAGGUGAGUCCCAGCUCCAGAAUUCAUUCCUGAAGAAGGGAAUUUAUUUGAAACCCCACUAGAGGAGGCAUGUGAGCAUCCCCCAAUAAGAUUUUCAGAACCUUGAACCAGCCUGUAAUUGGUAUGCCUGUCCGGCAUGACCAGGGGGCUAGCCAUGGGAAUUCCUGACAAAUGGCUUGAAGAUUUCUGUGACUGAGAUGACAGAAGAGAGAGAGCACAACCAGAGUCUGAAAUUCCCGAUAAUCCAUGUACAGUUGAAGCAGUGUUGAACACAUUGAAGUCUUCACUUCCUAAUGUGGUGGUCUCAUGAAACAUAGAGUGUGAACCAGAAUUUAGGCCUCUCAUAUCAUGUGAAUAUUGACUGCCAUUCUCAAUGAUUAUGUUUCCAGUUAGAGGAUUAGUUCCAUUGUCAUGAAAUGGGGGGUACCGUUUUCCAAUAUCAUAAGAAGGAAAGGCUGGUUUCAAAGGCAGAUGCCCAUUUGUAACAGGAACCCCUGACAAAGGCCUAUAAUGAGUCGCAUCUUCAACUUUUAAAUGCCUGCACCAGUCAUUUGUUCCAUAAUUUUCAGCAUCCAAAAUUCCACUGGGGAGUAUCUCUUGGCAGAUAAAAGAUGCAGUUGUUAACAUAUUAUCCUGAAAUCUGCUGCCUGUAAACCGUGCAGACGUUCAAAAGAAGAUUAAAAAUCUAAAUGACUCAAAGCAGUAGUGAUAGAAUGAUGAGUCACUAAUUAGACACUUGGAGAAGUACAAAUUAUACAGGAGAAUCCUCAGACUACACAACUUAUUAUUGUCAUUACAUGCAAACUGGAUGAGCUCUGAAGGAAUUCUACAGAUCAUGACAAAACAUAUGAUAUGAAUCUAUGAUCAUAAAGAGUAAAUGACUCUUAUUAAGGCAUUUUUUUUCUAUCAUAGUGACAUUCAAGGAGCUUGACUUACUUAAAGAGACAAUUUUAUUUAUUUGUAUUUUGGAUGCAUUUCGAUCAUAUAUUUGACCCACUCUCACUGGCAGAAGCUUUCAGUUCAAUGUUGCAACCGCAAUAUGCAGCCAGUGGACGCAUGAUGUUUCAUUUUCCUCCAUUAGUAACAUUUGGUUUGAGACACAGCAGUGGCUCAAUUAAGCCAAACAUAAGGGAGACAGGGCCAAAAACUCUAGAUAACUUUCAUGGAUAAAAUGCUGGAUAAUAUAUAAAGGACAUUUAGAGGCCUUCUAGUUUUUUCCACAGAAUCCACUAAGGUUCCGCUGACCAAAGAAAAGUUAAACAUUUCAUGGUAAUACAAAGUUCAGGGCUGCACAAGAGAUCACAGUAUGGUUGCAUUCAGUUAAGGAGAGAAAGGGGGACCAUGAAAUCGUAAGGAUAACAGAAAACUAGAGACAAAUUUUAUUAAUACCAUUAUACGACUGAAGCAACCUACCAGCUCUUCCAGAGUGAAUCCCCACUUGAGGCUUUCUCCGACGCUCAUUGUGUCCUGCAAGGCGUUUACGACAGCUACGCUUACCAUCAUCAAACUCAGCCAGCAAAUGAAACCUGGAUGGUCAAAAGCCAGUACAUAUUACAGCAACAACAAGAAUCAUGACACUUUGCACAUUAGCUCAGCUGGUUUGAUUCAAAAUCCUAAAUGAGCUAAACUCAAGGAUACAAUGGAUUUAGAAUGAAUCUAUUUCUGAGCAACCAAACAAAUUGAAUUCAAUCAAGAAGAUGAAACAGAACCAACCUACUACAUUGCUGACAAAACCUCUGUUCUCUGCCAUUCACAAUAACUUUGGCCGUCUUUGAGUGAGCCUCACAAACUUUAUGCCUCUUGUGGUAGUCCUUAGAGGAGCUGAGAUCCUUGUUGCAACCAUAAACCUGACAGUAGGCGGUCUGAGAAUACAAUCCUGACACCCGCAUUCGCUUUGGAGGUGUCGAUGAUUCGGAUGAAGACAAUAUGGGAUGUCCUUUAGAAAAUUUAGAAUCAUGGAAAUCUCUGUUAUCAGCCAACCUCCCUAGUUUUAAAUCAAUGAGUGAAGAAUCCCUACUGUUAGAGUCCACAAUAGAGCUUGAAAGCUUUGAAGAUGAUUCAUCUUCUCCUGAAAAUAAAUUUGGGGUAGCCAUACUUGUUGUAUUAGUACUUCUUUCACCAUAAACCUUGCCACUCAAUACAUCUCUAAUUGGAUUAUUUGAGAAAUGUUUGCCCAUCAUUUCUGGAAAACCCAACUCCCCAAAACCCUGACUUUCAAUAGCUUGCUGGCCUGACACUAAAACAUUGCUGCCAAAAGUACAGGGGAUUUUCAAUUCCCAACCCAUCAAAGUAUUUCUACUUCUAGAAAAUGAAUCAGUGUGUGAAAUUGUUUCUUCGGAAACAAACCCCUUCCCUUCAGAAAUACGGCUCCAAGACUCCAUUACAAGUAAAAGGAUCACAACUAAAGCCCACUUCAAUUCAUGGGGAAAACUAUCAGGCACUUGUAGCCAAGGAUCAAGCUGAUUGUUUAUAGUUCCAAAAGCUCAAUGAGCUCAAAGCUAUAUAUAGGUCAUUACUGGAGAAUAAUCAUUAACUCUGUACACAAACCACAAAAAGCCCAUCUUUAUUAGAAGAAAAAAUGAAAAGAAACUGCAGAACGUUUCCUCCUUGAAGCUCCAAAUUCGUUGGAAAAUCAGUUUCUGGGAAACCAAACAGAACAAAAAGGAAAACCCAUCAGGACCGUACCAAGAAAAAUAUAACCAAUCUGCAAAAAAUGUCUGAAGCCUGAACCCCCACGUGAAUUCAAUCAAGACAAUUGAAGGAACAAGUAAAAAAGCUGAACAUGUUCAAUGUAUAAAGCAAAGGCUGAAUGAGUGGAAAACAGGAGCCAAAAACAGAGUUUCAGGUACUUGAUGGAAAAACUAUUCAGCAGCUGAAAGAAAGGAAAACCAAAAGUUGCCCAAAAGAGAGACAGACAGAGAGAGAGUGUGUGUUCACUUUACCAGUGUAAAAGUAGAUAGUAGGUAUAGUGUGGCAUUAUGGGGGUUGAGGCAGACAGCUAAAUUUGGAAGAGUUUAGUAAAUUCUAAACUCCAUGGAAGAGCUUGUAGUUGCUAACUUGCUAUUUUUUGUGUGUGUGUGUGUGAGAGAGAGAGAGAGAGAGAGAGAGAGAGAGAGAGAGCAUUGAAGAGAGCUGCAACUUUAUGUAAUUUAGUAGACUAAAGUCAGAAAGCAAAGGAGACCAAGGAACUGCUAUUUCCACACUUAAUUAUAAUUACCAAGACUUUGUUUUUGUUAAGUAAUUACCAAGAUUCUAUGACAAGAAAUUUGAUAUUCAAUAAUGUUUUCUUUUCUUUUAGAACCAAUACAAAUAGUAGAGCAACGUUAUAAAAAUAAAAAAAAUUUGUGGAUGAUGGGGACAAUGUGAAUUUUGAAACUUGGACCUAUGAUAUGCUAUGAGUGGAAAAAAAACAAAAAAAAUUGUUGAUGGAGGUGAAACUUGCAGACAGAAGUUUGAUUCAAAACAUAAAUCUAAAUUAUAUAUUGGAGAUACAAAAGAGGAGCUCAUAAUUAUAAACACCCAUGAUUAUUAAAAUGAAUGACAAAAGAAUUAGCUGAGAUGGUCAGUCAUAUUUAAUUAGAAACCUAACCUGAAAUUAAGUAAAGUUGAUUAGUUUAUCAGUAAUUAUAAGGAAAAAGCAUAUUCCUUGGAAGCAUGGAAAACAUGGCUUGAAACAUGGCCCAUCACCACCACCAGAAGCCAAAGCCAGAGCCAUGCAAAUGAGAGCGAUUAUAGUCUAUAGAGAGAGUGGGAGACCGAGAAAGUGAUGGCCAACAAGUCAAUGCACAGUCAACACUAACUCAGUAUUUUAUUUUAAUUUUAUGUUGGGAUCUUGAGGACUGGCCCUGGAAAUACCAAAAUUACCUCCUGACCUGGCUGGCAGGGGCGUGCAUUGCAAGCUCUGUGGAAUGAGGGUGGGGAUGGAACACAUAUGCACUUAGGGUGGCAUUUGCAAACUGGCAGCCACCAUCCCCAUUGACAAGUCAAGCAGAGAGUGCUUUCCCAGAAGUUCAAAGUAUGUGGGGAUAAAGUUUGGGGAUUUAGGGUUUAGUUGCAGAUCUUUCUUUGCCUGGUGCCUAGUGGUGGUGAUGAGGAAGUUUCCAACCAAACCCAACACUCAGCUUUGUCGUCCUUGUAUUUGGAAAAGGAAGAUUAUUCGAACGUUAAAACGUGUAACAAUGUUUGACCGUGACUCAAUUAUGUGAACACAAGGUCGAAUGUAAAGUAGUAUGCCAAUCCACCAACUGACCAAAAAUACAUGGAUUGUGAUCUCCAAGUACGGUUUGUAUAAGAAUUUAUCAACAGUUACCUUAAGCUUUUGAAUUAUAUGUUCGGUAAAGCUUUGUUCCCCAAGGAAAGAGGAUAAAUGCAAGUAGUUUUCAGUCGAUACGACAGUAAUAAAACAUAAUACUUUGUCAAAGAAAAUAAAACAAUUUGGGUCCUAUAUGAUGUCAUGAAUUUGGGACACAUCUUACGUGAAGUCAAACUGAGAGCAAUAUAUUCCAACCACAAGCCAUCAAUCAAACUUGUUUUGUUUUUCUUCUUUUUUUUGGGGGGGGGGGCAAAGAAGACAACGUCAGAUAACAGACAGGAAAGGAGAAGGAAAACUGCUAAUUUCCUCUCAACUUAGAAAACGAAAGCAGAAGAAAGAGACAGGACAACCAUUGCAUCAGAAAAGAAAUUUCAAAUUCCCAUCCACUUUUCAUUUUAUUUUUCUUCAAAGAAAAUAAGAUAUUACUGUUUGUUUGAAUUGAUCGAUAUAUAUAUAUAUAUUGUGUGGUGUGGUGAGAAAGAAUUGCCAAAACAUAUAUUUAACGCAGGGUUUAAUUAAUACCUUAUUGAAUGAUGAAUGAAAGGUAAAGUAUAUACGUACGUUGACAGACACUGUAUGUUCACGUGCUCUAUUGUAUUUGUAGAUUGAGGCUGGUAGGGGUAGGGGCCAACAAAACCUACUCCAUCCACCAAACCAAACUCAUCUUUGUUUAAGAGCAUCAAAGAAAGAUAAGAUCCAUCCAUAACACAUCCGCACGCCCAAAAACAAAAAGCAAACAAGCUAUAGGAGCUAACUCCUCACUCACUCAUCGUCAGGUGGUGCUUAACUUUUGACAUAAUCGAAUGUAACUAACCCUAGCUAGGCGAAGCCAGCCGAAAAGAAACAAUAUUUUCAUAUGAAAGAAAGAUAACAGCUAGGGUAGGAUGGUACUGCAUGCAUGGCCUCAAGAAUCUAAUUCUACACAAAGUUAAUUAAGGGGCCUUAGGGCAACUGGGGAGUUGAUAACUACAAACUUAUCAUCAAUUAAUGCCAUAUGUUAUCUACUGCAAUUCAAUUCAAUUCAAAUCAAAUCAAUGGCAGCUGGGCUAUGGGGGAGAAACACUUGUGUGAAGUGGGGAUAAGACUAUUUUACUAUUCCAGCUAAUCACGGCAUGUCACGUGUGAUAAAUUUUCCACGAAGUAGUCUGUAAUUGAUUAGGGAUAACAAAAUAGUGCUAUCUCCGCUUCAUAAUCUGUAAUUUUAUUUUUUUUCUUGUCUAAAAUCAAUCACUUAUGUUUUUCGUUACUUAAAUCCAACGACUAGAAUUCAACUAAACAAGUGUGCAUGUUUCUGUAUGUUUAAUAUCUAAACUUGGAAAUACGCAAUGUAUUAGCAGAAAGUUAUUGAAAGCAGUUUGAUGUUGUUGUAAAAAGAAUCAAAUCAGGUUUGUUUGGUUUUGAUGGGGGGAGAGGGAACAAAAGAGGUGGAUGCCACAUUGUCAAAAGCCAUGAAGCUAAGCUUAGACCUUAGAGAGAGGCAGGUAGCACUUUGGUAAGAUGGGGCAGAUGACAAUUCCACUAGUCCCCUUUUUUUGAGUGAAAAUGAUGCCCAAUAAUUAACCCCUCUUUUUUCAUGCGUCCCUCUCAAGUCCUCGAGAAUUUUAAGCACAAUCUUGUGGACAAGGAAAAAGGAUAUAAAGCUUAUAUGGAUGGGUGGCUGGGGAUGGAAGGAUCCCAUUAAAUACUAUAUUGGAGCCAAGGCCCCACCCACCCCCACCACAUUUAGUGUCCAGAAGGCCUUGCCAAAGAGAGCUGCCAUGCAACAUUGUGUUGUUUUAUCUUUCAGGCAAUUAUGUUCCCUACCCUUUGAGAGAGAGAGAGAGAGAGAGAGAGAGAGAGAGAGAGAGAGAGAGAGAGAGAGGACUGAUUGGAGGAGAAAACUCAUAUCAUAUUAUCUUCCAAAAUAUUAUGAUGGAUGGUGCACCCAAUAAAUAAUCUUACUCUUGCUUCAAUAUUUCUUGACCUUUUGAAGGAGGUAAUUUCAAUAUAGAAGCAUCAAAGCCAGCACUAGAUAUUUUGGAUAAACUAUGAACAGAAUUCGGAGCACAAGAUUAAUAAGAGGGUCGAAAAGAUUAAUAAGAGGCCUAGAAGCUCAGACUUGGACAAUUAUCAUUGGUUGAUUUUCAAUUUCAGCCAGAAGUACUUUACCUAUAAUUUCAGCCAUUUUCAAUUAUAAUGGGCCAUGGCCCAAAAAGAGAGAGAAAAAGGCUGAAUUGGGAGCUCCUUUUAUCUCCAAUGAAACCCAAUCAAUUCUCAUCUUUUUUUUUUUUUUUGGUUUCGAAGUUCCAAUUCUUUGCAAUCCCCCAAAAAAAUAAAGAAAAAUACAAAUAAAAUCUAGCAAAAACACCGAUCAAAAAAUCAACAGAAAACAAACAAGAAUAAAUCUAACUAAAACCAUCACAAUAUAGUAUGAAGAUCAUGUUCUUGAGCAAAAACACUAAAUUCAAAAGCUAUCAUAAAGACAUUUAGCCCAAAUAAAGGCAUAUAACCCACAAAGAGGCAUUACGCUCAUAUUCGGCAUAAAGCCCACAUUAAACAUAAAUACAUAAAAUAAAACAUAAAAAACCUAGCCGUCACAACCAAAUAGAAACUCCAAGCAGCCACUAAUAAAGAGAAACUCCAUAAUUGUAGAUGGACAAACCACCAUGAAGAACCAAACAGCCAUAGAUCAGCAAACCAAACUAAAUACCCCUCAAAACACAGCCCACACAAAAUUUACUAACAUAACCAGAAAAGAGGCGGAAUUGGGUUUUUCAAGGCUUUGGGUUGAUAUUGGUAAGCGCCUACAAAUUAUAAAUCAAAAAAACCUAAAAAUGAAAUUCUCCUUUUCAAUUCAACAAAAGGGAUCCAAAGCCAUCUUCAUAUCAUUAUGUCAUUUGAGAAACAUUUUGGAUGUGGCGUCACACCAGAGAUAAUUCACGUGGGGCAUGCUGCGCCCGACAUUGCAUUCAAGCACCUUGUUUUACUACUUUAUCGCCAAAAAAGAAAGUACUUUUAUUAGUUUGCUCUUCUUGGCAGCUUGUAAUGGAGAGGGUAAUCAAAUUAAGAAAAUUCUUUGUUUGACAAUUCUAAAACGAAAAUUCUAUAUUUGGUGACUGAAUCAUAUCUAAUUUUAUAAUUUGCUCCAUUAAUCGAGACUUUAAGUUUUGUGAACGAGACAUUAAUAUAUACUAAUACAUUAAUCGGGAAUUUUUUUUAUAUAUUUUCUUAAUAAAUAAAGUAUGAAGUGAAUUUGGAACGGAAAUAAAUUGAUAUUCAAAAAUUAUGUAACCCCUUGGUGUAUGUAGUAUUUUUUUUCUUCCUCUUUUCUGCCUUUAAUUUGGCCAUGUACAGACGGUGGUGCAACAAGUGCCUUUGGCGCAAGAGAAGGAAAUGGAGCAAUGCACAUGGCUGUGAGUCCAUAUGACAAUGACAACACACAGUUAGCCAGCCAUAUCCCAUAUGUAUGAAAUUAGACCUCAUCAGGUUCUUUUUUUUUGUUUUUAUUUAUUUAUUUAUUUAUCAUUGUCUACAUCAAAAUUUAAAAGCUUCUGGUAUGUAUCUUAGCUUCUUUUUCUGAUUGGUCUCUUUCCUGUAAAAAAAACAAAAAAAACUUAAUCAAAACGUGCAGUCCGUAAUUAUUAAUUAGUAUAUGCAAGAAUUCUUACAGGCAGUAAAAUUAUGACUUCAUAAAACCAACUUUUUGUGUAAGCAGGUGUUUCCUCCGAGUUUCAAUAAAAAUACUUGCUCUGCGGACACGUGCCCGUCGCCUGUGCGCCGAUCCUGGUUUUACCGUUGGUUAAUAAGGUAAUUUUGGUUUGACGCGUGUCCUCUGAGCGAAUAUCUGUCUGUAAGCUGGGUUCGGAGGCGUAAAAAGAGUACGGCUCUAGUAAAUUGUCUUCCUUCUCAAAUAUCGGUCACCUGGGAGUUAAUUUCACCACAACCAAUCUCAGAUCGACACGUCACUUAUCAAAGCGAUGUCCAACUGUUUGACAAGUGAUAUGCUCUUGUUAUUGACAGCGAACACAGUGAAUAGUUCCAUCAACAAAAAAAAGAGAAAAGUUCAAAUAUUCAUUUGUAUUUCUUCCUUUCAAAGGAUAUAACGAAUAUCACUUCCAUGUAUUUAUAAAUAAUGCCUAGAAAUUUGUUUCAAAAGGCCAGAAAUGUUUUUGAUACAAUAUAUAAGAUGUUGAAGAAUAUAAAGUCCCACAUCGAAAAUUUGAUUAAAUAAAAUUACAAUUUAUAAUAAGUGGUUCUACCUCUAAUAACAUCGAGGCUUUUUGUGAUAAAACUUCAUACCUAUUGGGCUUUAUAUGUGGUCAAGUUGAGGACAAUAUCGGUGUCGCUAGUAGUGGACCACUGACUCGUCUCUCUGAAAUUUAUCAGUGUUGCUAAUAGUAGGCUACUGACCCGUCUCUUUAAAAUUUAACAUAAGAAACAAAUUCAAAAUUAUUACUUUUAAAUAUGGUCAACUUCGUUCUUGUAAUCGUGUGCGGCUUGUAGUCUUGCACGAUAUAAUAUUUUCCUUUACGGAUUUUGUAGUUUGAAUGAAGGACGGUCAUUUGGUUGUUGAUUUCAAUGUUAUCACAUGAGGUGUUUAAAGCUCGAUAGGCUCCUCUCAUUUUUUCUUUCUUUGAUUUUGUUUGCACUAGGCUUUGAAAGCCAAUAGUCGUAGCACAAUAUUGUCAAUGCCAACUUUUAUUAUUAUUAUUAUUAUUAUGUUUCCCAACCCUAUUCUACUUGGGAUAUUGCUAGUGAGGUUUUUCCUUCUAUAAAAAAGGAAACAAAGAAAUCAAUUCCAAAAAUAGGAAUUUCAAGGACAUGCAAGAAGAAUGCUAAAUAGCUUCAACUGCAAUCCAUACAUUUUGUGAAGUACUUGCAGCUAACCGAAUUGUCUACAAACACAUUUUGCCCAAAAAUCGUUUCUUCCAUUAAAAGCGUAAUUUGAAUGGAUCGAUCUAUAGUAUGAACUUACGAUAUCUAUUUUCGCUUUAGCUUCACAAUUAACUUUCAUAGUGGCAUACAUGAUGUGAUUUGAAUGAUUUUGCUGUUGUUAUGAUGGUGUGAAUGACAACAUUUUCGAAGGGGUUUCAAAAGAAAAUAUUGCUUCAUCAUCCUUCGAAUAAAAAAAGAGAAUGUCAAAAUUAAAGUUUGAAAAUAAAAUGGUAUCGAAACGAAGUGAAACUCCAAAUAUAUAGAAAGAUCAUGAGAGGCAGAGGUAUAGGGCUAAAUAUCCCCUUCAAAAUGGAAACUAUAGAGUAAGUAUCUGACAUGAAAUAUGAAGUGCAGCCCAGCUAGGAGUGGACACGUGUUCAUCCAAAAGUAUGCAACUGUUAAGGUUUGUUGUUGUUGGACAUCCGCUAGGCAAUACAAGGUAACCUAGAGGCUUUGACAGUGCACAUAUAAUUGAAUUGAAUUGAAUUGAAUUCUUUGAAAAAAAAGAUGAAAAAAGGAUGAUGCAGUGGAAAAUCUGGACCAUAGAGUGUAACUGGGCAAAACCCUUGUGGUUGUAACUUGUAUGGAUAUUGGAUACACACGAAGCACAAGACAUCACAAGAAUAUUAAGUGUACAGUAGUAGGGAUAGGGAAGAUAAAACCAUACACAAAUACAAAAGCUUUUUCAGGGGUUUCCAUUUCUCUCAUAUUGCAUUCAUCUUUUUAUCCCUUUUGGUACCCUAAACACACACCCUCUUUAAAGAAACUUUGUCUGCCUCUCAUCUUAACCAAUACUAGAGAGAGAGAGAGAGAGAGAGAGAGAGAGCUAAUAAUUUAGAAAGAGAUAUGGGAAGAGGUAGAGUUGAGCUGAAGAGGAUAGAGAAUAAAAUUAACAGGCAAGUGACUUUUGCCAAGAGAAGAAAUGGGCUGCUCAAGAAAGCUUAUGAGCUCUCAGUUCUCUGCGAUGCUGAGGUUGCCCUCAUAAUUUUCUCCAGCCGUGGCAAACUUUAUGAAUUCUGCAGCAGUAUGAGGUAUAUAUCUCUCUCUCUCUAGCUAUAUCUAGGCAAACAUGUGUUUUAUGUAUUUUACUUAUUAGUGUCUGCGACUUACAUAUUUGUCGGAGAAAUUUUUUUGUUAUGUACUAGCAGUGGUUUUAAUGCGCAAAAAGAUGCGGAUUUCAUUGAUUCUUCUUGAUUCAUUCAGUGUAGAUGUUGAUCUGUUGCAAAUUGCAACUGAUCAUUUUAAGAAGAGUAACAACUUUUAAAUUUUUGGUGUUCUCAUAGUUGAAGAUGUAAAAUCUUUUCUUCUCUUUUUGAGUUCAUGUGUUUCAGUCUCUUCGUACAUAUACUAUACACAAACUUCAUCUUUGAUUUUGAUACUCAAUUACUUUUAAAUACAACAAUUUUCCAGCUUGAAUUGUUUCAGUUUCCAAAUUGUUUACCUAUCCAUUAGACACGUGUAAAAGUUUCCUAAAUCGUUUCCUAUGAUUUUCUAAAUUUUGAGUUCUCUCUAGUAAUUUGCUACUUAUAUAGCAUAUAAUGGAAUUAAGCUUAUUUAGAAGGCUUUCCUAAAUAUAGUUAUAAGCUGUUUUGUACUCUUUUGAAGACAGAUUUAGUUUGUUUUCUUCCCUUCUUUUUAAGUAAACAAGAUCAUACAAAACUUUGAAUCGUGGUGUUUUCAUGGAAAAAACUUAUUAACAAGAAACUUACAGAUUAUUCUUUCAUCAUUUCUACGGUUCGUUCCAGGAGAACCGUCAUUUUUUUAAUGAGCAGGGAAGAGACAGUAACAAUACCGGUCACUGUUAUGAUUCGGUAGCAGGAUGAUUUGAAAUUUGAUUUGCAAGUUUUCUGCAUGUAGUACUUUGAAAUAAUUACUUUCAGUAAGAGAAAGACAAAAGGCUGCCUCUUUCGCUGCCAAUUCCAAAGCUGGAUUAUAUUUCUGCAAAACCUUGGAGCCAGAUUAGAAGACUUUGGCCUGAGAUAUUACUAAAAAUAUUAUACUUGUAGAAGUAUUCUGCAUCCACAAACACAAAUUCCUAAAUAAUUAUAAUAAAGUCAUCCAUAAAACCUCAUCAUAUUAAAGAUUUAUUCAUUAUUAUUUCUUUUUUAAAAUGGACCUGAAGAUAAGAUUCUGCUUUAAAAUUUUAGGUAAAAAGAGUUGACAUUCUUAAUUUAGAGUCCCAGGCAACUUUAUAUCAAAUUCAAAGUUUAAAUGUGGAGAAAUUGGAAGUUUCAAGAUCCUGAUAGUACAAAUGCUAGUGGCUUUUAGGCGGUCUGAUGUAACUAGCUGAUAGACAACAGAGCACUUGAUGCUAGCUCAUUUAUGUUAUCCAAGUGAUAGAGAAAGCGCCGAGCCUAGUAGUAUGGACUUGUAACUAAGCAGGGCGUUAAAGUGAUUGAAACCUUCUCAAGUGAUAGAGAAAGCAGUGGUAACUUAAUGAAAAUCAUCCCCUUCAAUAUUUAGCCUUACAACACUCUGAACUUGAAGUUUCUUGAGUUUUCUUGCAUUUCGUUUGUGAGAAGCAUUGGUAAACUGAUGGUUGCUUCACAAACUUCGUUUUACCUUCGCUUAGACAUAUUUAAUCUCAGUCCUAAUUAACUAGUUUAACUCUCUCUCUCUCUCUCUCUCUCUCUCUCUCUCUCUCUCUCUCUCUCUCAACAAAUAAAAACUUCACAAGAUCUAAGAAAGUGAAACCCUAAUGUACCUCAUGGAAGUGGGAAUAGCAGCUUGAAGUUCUCCAUUGUUGAUGAGUAGAAAGUAAUGCUACCUUGCAGCCUAGAAAUUAAUAACACCUUGCUACUCCCCUUUUUAUUAGUAACAAAAGAACCUUGUGAGGCGUGGAUAUAUGGUAUUAUUCAUCUAUACAGUUAUAAAUAUUUAUGACAACUAUAUAUAUAUCUAGCUGAUUUCACACAGGGUUCAAGUAUGGCGCACACUUAUGUUCAAGGAUGUAAUUGCAUUGUGUUUAUUGGGGGACGAUUCACAAUGUCUUCCAUCGUCACAGUUCAUAUAAGCUGUCGUUUAGAAAUUAAAUAAUUUGAUUUUAACACCACUUGACCCAAAAUCAUAAGAUUCUUAUGAUUUUUAAGCCAAACAUGUUGUUUUGAGUACACUUUGUCUUUUUUAGCCAGAUUGAUUAUGCAUUUUAAGUUGUCGUUUUUAUGAUUGUGAUGAUACAGUAGUAUUGUGAAAUCACAUAUAUAUAAAAUUUUAGUGUGUUAAGACCUAUGUUUUUAUUUUUAUUUUUAUUUUUAUAAGACUAGGCUUCAAGACUAGUACCUUGGUGAAUAGAUGUGCUGAUAUCUUGAUGUUCUUCAAUUGUUCACCUUGUCUCUUAUAGCAUGCUGAAAACGCUUGAAAAGUACCAAAGGUGCAGCUAUGGCUCCCUGGAAGCCAACAGACCAGUCAAUGAGACCCAGGUAGGCUGGACAACCCCACUAUUAUUAAAAACCAACACUAUUUUAACAAUCCAACCUUGUGGAAUAUUUCGAAUGCGUCUUUUUUAUUUUAUUUUAUAGUAUUUAAUACAAAAAUUUGUUGACAACUCUAGAAAUGUCAUGACAAAAUUGUCUUUUGUCUCCAAGCAGAACAGCUAUCAGGAAUAUCUGAAGCUGAAAGCUAGAGUGGAGGUCCUCCAACAAUCUCAAAGGUAUUUUGCACAACCUUGGAAUUGAUAUUUGCUUGUCAAGCAAUCUCUGAAGAAAGAUGGUAAACCCUAGAUAUAUAUAUUCUAAGAGUAGAUGUUCCUGAAUGCUGCAGAAACCUUCUUGGGGAAGAUUUGGCCCCACUGAACACAAAGGAGCUUGAGCAGCUUGAGCAUCAACUGGAGGCAUCCUUGAACCAAAUUAGGUCAACAAAGGUGAUUAACUGAUAGAAUUUUUGUCAAUUUGAUCGUUUACGGAAGCUUAUACACGAAACCCUUUGUCUAUCAUAAAGCAAUCUAUCGCUUGAGCUAAUGCCAACAACAAAACUCCUGAUUGCUUGGCCCUUUGUCUUCUUUUAAUUAAGUUGUAAUAAUUCUUUGGGCUCACCUGUUAUGUUGUGUUCCCACAUUUUAUUCAGACUCAGUUUAUGCUUGAUCAGCUUUGUGAUCUCCAGAACAAGGUAAGUCAUGAAUCUCAUUUGCGCAUCAAUGUUGAUACAUGUAUACACUUGCACAUGUGCAUGCUUCUGUGAUUUGCCUUUGAACACAUAAUAAUUCCUGGACUACUUGCUUUUUAUUCUUGAGCAGGAACAAAUGCUAGUUGAAGCUAACAAAGCCUUGAGGAGGAAGGUAAAACAAAUGAAACCAUAUGCCCCAUAAUUUCUUGCUUCAUUAAUUGAUCUAGCUGUUUGUGUUUACAAGUGUAAAUCCAAGUGAUCAUUAAUAUUAACUGAACACAGCUGGAAGAAACUAGUGGGCAAGCGCCACCUCUAUUGGCAUGGGAAGCUGCUGGCCAUGGCAACAACAAUGUUCAGCAUACUGGCCUUCCUCAUCAUCCUCACUCACAAGGCUUCUUCCAUCCAUUGGGAAACAACUCCACUUCCCAAAUUGGGUACACAUCAUCUCAAAUCCUUUUGAUUCAAAUCCCCGCAUCCAAACGGAGCCUUAAUUUCCAUUAAUUAACACGUCUUCGUUUUCGUCUUCUUACAAUGCAGAUACACCCCCUUGGGUUCAGAUCAUCAUGAACAAAUGAAUGUUGGAAAUCAUGGCCAACAUGUGAAUGGAUUCAUUCCUGGGUGGAUGCUUUGACUUUGAUUUCGCAUGAUCAAGAUGACAAGAUGUGGCGAAUAAAAUACAUGUAGCGGACUAUCAUCUCAUGUUGGAUGGAGCUUUUCUUUUUUGGUUAAUUGUCAUCUUCCUUCUAUGCCAUGCAACAUGUAAUUAGUCUUGAACCAAUAAGAAUAAAUAUUUAUUUUUAUUUAUGUUUGUAAGUUGUAUUCAUGACAUUGAAAACCUCUCUCUCUCUCUCUCUCUCUCUCUCUCUCUCUCUCUCUCCCCCUCCAUAUAUAUAUGAAUUGUGGGAUAUGUAUUUGCAUGAAUUUGUAUCAUAAUCCCUCAAUAUACCAGUUUGAACAAGGUAAAUUUGGGCCUCAAGCCUAUGGGAA
rnacentral:lncRNA from 1 species